ACUGCGCGCUGGGCCCGCGCUCCUCGCCGCCGCCGCCCCGCGCCGCGCCCGCCCUGUCCCGCCCAGUCCGCCAUGGCGGGACUUGUGGUCAGUGGAACGCAAGUGUCCUACGUAGGCCAGGACUGCAGAGAGAUCCCAGAGCACCUCGGCAGAGACUGUGGACAUUUCGCGAAGAGGCUCGAUCUGAGCUUUAACCUCCUGAGAAGCCUGGCGGUUUCUUCUGUGGAAAGGGUAAGCCAGAGGAUCUCUUUACUUGGAAACCCCAAGCACUGUUCAAGGUGGAUAUCCAGUUUUGCCAGCACUAUUCGUUAAAAAGACUGUGUUUUCCUCAUUUGACGGACUUUGGGUCCUUGUCGAAGAUCAGCUGACUGGAAGAGAUCCAUAUUUAUGCAUAUUCCGAAGAAAGGUGAUCCAGCCAAAUGUGUAAAUUAUAGGACAGUAUCAUUAAUAUCACACACAAGCAAAAUUUUGCUGAAGAUCAUUCAAAAAUGGCUGAAGCAGUAUAUCGACAGGGAACUGCCAGAAAUUAGGCUGGUUUUAGAAGAGGACGUGGAACCAGGAAUAUCAUUGCUGAUGUCAGAUGGAUCCUGACUGAAAGCAGAGAAUACCAGAGGGAUGUUUAUCUGUGUUUUAUUGACUAUGCAAAGGCAUUGGAUUGUAUGGAUCAUAACAAAUUAUGGGUAACAUUGUGAAGAACGGGAGUUCUAGAACACUUAAUUGUGCUUAUGAGGAACCUUUACAUAGAUCAAGAGGCAGUUGUUCAGACAGAACAAGGGGAUACUGAUUGGUUGAAGGUCAGGAAAGGUGUGCAUCAGGGUUGUAUUCUUUCACCAUACCUAUUCAAUCUGUAUGCUGAGCAAAUAAUCCGAGAAGCUGGACUGUAUGAAGAAGAACAGGGCAUCAGAAUUGGAGGAAGACUCAUUAACAACCUGCGUUAUGCAGAUGACACAACCUUGCUUGCUGAAAGUGAAAAUGACUUGAAGCGCUUAUUAAUGAAGAUUAAAGACCACAGCCUUCAGUAUGGAUUGCACCUCAACAUAAAGAAAGCAAAAAUCCUCACAACUGGACCAACGAGCAAAAUCGUGAUAAAUGGAGAAAAGAUUGAAGUUGUCAAGGAUUUCAUUUUACUUGGAUCCACAAUCAACAGCCAUGGAAGCAGCAGUCAAGAAACCAAAAGAUGCGUUGCGUUGGCUAAAUCUGCUGCAAAUGACCUCUUUAAAGUGUUGAAGAGCAAAGAUGUCACCCUGAAGAUAAAGGUGUGCCUGCCCCCAGCCAUAGUAUUUUCAUUCGCAUCAUAUGUGUGUCAAAGCUGGACAAUGACUAAGGAAGACCGAAGAAGAGCUGAUGCUUUUGAAUUGUGGUGUUGGCGAAGAGUAUUGACUAUACCAUGGACUGCCAAAAGAACGAACAAAUCUGUCUUAGAAGAAGUACAACCAGAAUGUUCCUUAGAAGCAAGGAUGGCGAGACUGUGUCUUACAUACUUUGGACAUGUUUUCAGUAGGGAUGAGUCCCUGGAGAAGGACAUCAGGCUUGGCAAAGUACAGGGUCAGCGGAAAAGAGGAAGAUCCUCAACGAGGUGAAUUGACACAGUGGCUGCAACGAUGGGCUCAAGCAUAACAAUGAUUUUAAGAGUGGCACAGGACGGGGCAGUGUUUCGUUCUGUUGUGCGUAGGGUGGCUAUGAGUUGGAACCGACUCUACAGCACACAAGAACAACAACAUUCUACCCCUGGUAAUUCCAGGAUAUUCUCUUCCUCUGGAAGAUUUCUUGAUUCUUUGUUUUGGGAGCUUGCUGAAGCCAACAUGAUCUGCCUCUUUAUGUAAUUUGAUAUUGACUGUUUUCUUGGAGCUAUCAAUAAGUUAUUGUGUUUAUUUUAUAUUUGCUUACUGUGUCCUAGCUACAUGUUUUGUUUUGAUAUGCGUGAGCUUGUUUGAUUAUUGGUGCCUUUGAAACUCUAACGUCCUUUCACCAGGUGGUUAGGUUCGUUAUUGCGUAUAUGAGCCCAGGAGUCCAUUUACUUUUCUUGUAUGGAUUUAGCCCAGGUGUCCAGGUAGUCAGUCACCAAGUGUGUGGUGCAGGCUCUCACCUACAGUCCUAGAUGUGCAGGGUGAUUGGUGUAGGCACAGGUGUCUGGCUGUAGUAGGGGUCAUGCACUGAGCAAGGUAGGGGACUGACAGCUACCCCUAAGUAUCUGGGAGGAAUGCAUGUCGCUGUUUCCUAGAGCAUGUAGGUGAGUGGGUUUUGCAGCUGAGGUAUGGGCACCCAAUGCUGUUGGCUGCAAGGACUGGGAGGCACUGCUUAUUCUUGGAUCCCUUUCGUGGGUGGCUAGGUGGUGUGGGUGAAACCACCAGUCCUCAGGCCCCUGAUGUGGGUAGGUGAGGACCCUGCUUAAUAGGCAGAGUGGUGUCAAAUGUCAUGAACUUGCCACAGCUGUUGAAGUGGGCCCACACAGGUCUCUGCAGGGGUGAAAUGCAUUCACAAUCCGUGGACCGUUUAUGCCUGUGCAUAAGCAAAGAAGCUCUACCUGCCUAGAGUUUUAGGAGAACAGAUAGAUUAUUUUUUUCCUGCUUGUUAAUUUGCCCCCUCUCCAAGGCUGGGAGAGUGACUCAGGGUACAUAGUGGGUCCUACUUCCAGCUCAGGGGAUGUGGCAGUCUCUGAAGCCAGCUCAGACUCAGUGCAGAGUGGGAAGGGGGCAGGUAAAUAGGAGAGAGGUUUUUCCCAAAGGGGUGCUUUUUGAUCCUUGCGGUAGGUUAGAAGCAUGUAGUUAUCUUUUGCUGAUUGAGUGCCGUCUUCCACUGAUUCUGGAGGCGUAAGUGGGCUCUCCAGAACUCGGUCUCUCUCAACGUAGAAAAUGCACCCUGAAGGCCACUGCUAGUCUUACCGCACUCGUGCCAGUGGUGGCCUGUGGUGUGCCCGUUCCCACCGGGUCAGGUCUGGCAGCUCCUCACUGCUUCUGAACUGUCUCUUCUUACCCCUGCCACUCAGACUGAUUCCUCAACUUUGCCUUUGUUGUUCAGGGCUCCUAGAUUGUUGUAUAUAAUUGGUUCACUUGUUUUCUUGGAUCUUUUUUGUAAGAGGGACUACAGGAAUCAUCUGACUACUCCACCAUCUUGGCCCUGCCUCCGAAAUAGUAUUUCUAUGCUUAGAAUUUACAAAAAAAAUCAGAAGUUCUGUUUUUCUCAAGCCUAAACCUUUUCCCCCUCGGCAACCACCUUCAAUUUUUUAAGCUGUUUCCUGCUAUUUAUCUUCAUACUUAAAUAUUAAAGUAAGAGUCUUUUACUGUCAUUUAGUAAUUAAAAAAAAAUUAGACAUCUGUCAGUUGUUUUUUCUUAUAUUUCCUUUACACAGCUAAGCUCAUUAUUUGUUCUUUUGCCUAAUAGUUACUCUUAGAGUUCAAUUAUAGAAAUUCUAUUUAUUCAGCAAACAUUUAGGGCUAUGGCCUGUGCUUCUCAUUGCUUUACACCUUGGGGAGACAACAUGAAAUGCCAACACUCAUCUAGCUCAAGGUGACUGUCAUUUUUUUGAUGAUGAUUAGCAUUCUUUUAAGUCAGUAUUUUUGAACCUGGGAGUUGCAACUCAUUAACGAGUUACAAAAUCAAUUUAGUGGGUUGUAACCAACAUUAUAAAAAACAGAAGAAAAUAUCAGCAUUCAAUAAAAAAUGGUUGAUAUAAUUCCUAUCAUCUUAUAUUAAAUACAGCAACAAAAAUUUAAUUAGGAUACGUAAUUAGGAUAAAUAUUGAUUUAUGCAAUCUGUGUGUCAGAUACAUAUGUGUGUAUAUACAUAUAGAUACAUAUAUGUAUGUUUUUUGUGUAUUGGGUUCCAAUACAAAAUAAUAAGGUUGAACAUAUGAAAUUGUUGUUUCUGUAGAUCCAAAAUAGUAAAAUACUAGCAAUUUCAUGUGGUUUAACUUACUGUGUCUUAUUGUGGAUUAUGGACAGUAUUGGUUUAAAUAAUCUCAUUUGGUUUGCAUUGAAAUAAUAAAUAUUCUGUUUUCUUAGCUAAGUUUUAGUUUCUUCACCUGUGAAAAAAGAAUAAUUGUACCUAGCUGAAAGAGUGUUUGUGAGGAUUAAAUGGUAAUUACUUAGCAUGACCUGUUGCCAAUAGUAAGCACCGAAUAAAUGUUAGCUGCCAUUAACAUUGUCAUCAUUCUAGCCAGUGUACCACAUUUGCAGCCACCACCCAUCUCUCAGUGUCUGUGUGUUGCUAUGAUGCAAAACAAGUUUCACUGGAGCUUCCAGACUAAGAUGGACUAGGAAGAAAAUCCUGGCGAUCUACUUCCGAAAAAUCAGCCAGUGAAAACACUGGAUCACUGUGGUUCAGUUCACAACCUGUCAUGGGGCUGGUGCAGGACCAGGAGGUGUUUUGUUCCAUUGUGCAUGGGGUCACCAUGAGUUGAGGGCCAACUCAAAGGCAACAACAACAAGCUAUUUGUAUCAUCAUCAUCAUCAUUACUGCCCCUCCCCAGUUCUUGCCCCUUGCUUCUUCCAUCUAGUGGAUCACACAUGGAGAGUUGAUUCUUUCAGUCACAGAGUGGUAGCACAUUAGCAAGAUCUGCCUCCGGCGGCAUCCAGGAUGGUUUUAGAUGGUAUACAAAGUGUGGGCCAGCCUGGGCUCACACAGUGAGAAUGUUGUCCUCUUCACAACUCUCAUUUGGAUUGCCUCUGGAAAAAAGCACGCGCUUGAUGAUGAUGUGUCUUUAACACCCUUCUAUUCAUCCUUUCUGCAGAUAUUUACUGAACACCUUCUAUGUGCCUGGCCCUGGUUGGACUUGUUGAAAGAGAUGAAGAUAACUGCAGUGAACAAGGCCAAUGGGACCUAGCUGUUGGGGAGCUUAUAUUCUAGUGUGGGGAGACAGAUGAUAAAUCAACAGAUUAAAAAAUAUGACAGUUUUCUAUGGUCGUCAGUGUUAUGAAGGCAAUAAAAUAGGGUGGUGGAAUAGAGAGUGACUUGGAGAAAGAGAUUUAUUAAGGUGGCCAGGAAAAACCUUUUCAGAAAGGUGAUAUUUGAGCAGAGAGCUGACUGGUGAGAAAGGGACAACUGUAAAAAGCUCAGAGGAUUCAUGUCCAAGGCAGAAGUAGCAGCAUGUGCAAAGAACCCAGGUGACUUUCAGGAAAAGAAAGACAGACAGUGUGGCCAGUGAGGUGUGUGCGGAGCAGAAUGCUGACAGAGGAGAGGAAGGUUGUACCCGUAUCAUGAAGAUGGUUGGGCUUAAUAAGGAGUUUGGAUUUUGUUCUAAAGUAUGAUGGGAGACCAAUGAAGCCAUUGAUGGGCUUUAAGUAGUGAGAUGAUAGAAUCUGAUUUGUGUUUUUCAGAACUACACUGGCUGAUGGUUGGAAUUUAGGCAGGCAAGAACAGAAGCUGGGGGUCCAGUUAGAAGGUGAUUGUGGUAGUCCCUGAGACAGAAGGUGGUGACGCGAACCAGGGAGCAGGCAGUAGACGUAAAGGAGUGGAAAAAUUCAGGCUGUAGUUUUAAGAUAGUGUCAGUGUGUGUUGAUGGAUGGGGUGUGGAAAUGAAGAGAGGAAUCAAAAAUGAGUCCUAGAAUGGUGAUGAUAUUUUAUGACUGUGGAGAAGACAGGCUUUCCUUUCCCUGAUGACAUUUUCAUGCUGCCAUUUUGCAUGGAUUUAUCCCUCUGCUUAUGCCCCUCCCGGGGAAGGAAAAUCCUCCUAGGGCUAUGGUUGACUCAAAGCUCUCAAGUUCUUCCUUUAUCUGACCUGAAUUCUUCAUGCUGCAUUUCAGGUCCGGGUUAUGCCCUCUGAGGAGAUGGAAAACAGCUGGUUAUAUGGGGGUCCUUGUGGGCAGGGCAGAUGGCGCUGUUAAUUCAUCCCUCUGUUAUGAGAAUUGAUGGCCUAUAGCCAGGACGCCAUGUUGAUAUUUAUGACUGGUUUCUAUGAAGAGUUCAUGCUCUCAAAAAAUGUAUUGUAUUCUGUUUUCAAAAGGAAAGUUGAAGACGGCCUGAGCAGUGGAUAUUUUUUUCCUUUUCAUUUUCCCAACAUAUAAUACAAGUUGCAUUACAAUAAAUUCAGUCAGUUCAAAUGUUUUUCAUCUGAAAAAUUGAAUACAUUAUUUUUUUCACCUAACUGCAAGGGGUGAACUUUUUAUAUUUUUAUGGGCUUUGUUGUUUUUACUUGUCACAGUUGCUGGUAUUAGUUCACUAGUAAGUAAUGACUUUUCUGUAUUGAGAAAGACAGAUGACUUAUUAGAUGUCAGAGGCCAUCUGAAACAUUUUCAACUCAGCAUUUUUAAUAGCUGUUUUUUUGUUUUGUUUUCCUUCUUUUUCUAUUUCCCUCAUCCACUGUGCUUGUGUUCUAGUUCUCUCUGUUUCUUUCUUUCUGUCUGUCUCCCUAUCCCCCCCACCCUUUUUCUAGCUCUCUCUUUUCCUGUCCGUGUCUUUGUUGGCCACCUCUUUUGUGUAUCUUCUGCAUGUUCAUACUACAUCUUCGCAUCCAUCCAGACUCCUUGGGAGCUGUUGACUGAUGCUGGGUAACUUUUUGUACAGUUGAGCUCUAUGGGUUUCCUACAGUAAACGUUCAUAAGUAUCUAUAGGUAUGAAUCUGUCCUUUAAAAAAAAUACACACACACACACAAGCGCAUUGUGUUCAAGGCAAGCAUCUGUUUUUGACCUCAUGGACACUUUGUGCUUAUCCUCUGUCUGCUGUUCACUCUGGGGUUCUUUGGAUGCCAUAAAAAAACUACCGCUCCCUCCCUUAUCUAUUAUUAACAGAUGCUGGACUCCAUGAGCAUCAUUUGAGUGUGCUCACGGUCUCUGAAAAGAUGUCUAUUAAUGGAAUUCACACCAUUGAAACAGAAGUGUAAUGUGGGUAUGGCCAGCUUACAUAGUAAAAGUGGGCUUUAGUUGGGGAAGUAUCAUAUCACCAUGUCAUUGUGUUUGGCACACAGCAGGUGUUCAGUAAAUAUGUGUUAGAGAAAUGAAUGUCUACUUGCAUGUUUAUUGGGAAUUGCAGCAUAGGAUUGCCCAAUGGUAGAGUUGGGGGUGGUUUGAACGGUGAACAAGACUGGCAUUAUGUUAAUGAGUGCAUGUAUUCCAAGGAGGAAAGAGACAAAGAUAAAAACCAGAAAAAUGUCAGUAGUGAUGAGUGCUACAUGGAGAAUUAAAGCAGGGUGAUGUGCUAUGGCAUGGCUGGGUGGUCAGGGAAAGCUGUCUGAGAAGAUGGGGUCUAAGCUGAGAUCUGAGUGACAACUGGGAGCCUAUCAAAGGAAGACCAGGGAGAGGGAAGAGUCAGGUAGAGGAAACAGAGGAUACAAAGGCUCCGGGAGGUGCAGCUUGGAGUGUUUGUGGUGCAGCUGCAGAAGCCAGCAAGGCUCUGCUGUGGGCAGCAGGCAGCCAUGGUAGGCAGCAGGGUCAGACCAGGUGGGACCUUAUGCUAUAGGCUCAGUUCAUACUUCUGAGCUUGAUUUGUAGUGGGAUGCCUUCAGAGGGUUUUAAGUGGGGGAAUGGCUUACAUUUUUAACAUAUCCUGCUGGCUGGUGUGUGGAGAAUGGAUUGUAGGGAGGCAAGAGGUGAAACUGCAGUGGUAUGUACUGGAUGUCUACCAUCUGUUAGAAUUUUUCAUUAACUUUUACCAGAGCUUCGGAUGGGGAGUAUAGAAUGCUUUCUUUUACUGAUCCUUGUGCUGGGGCAAAGAUUUCUGGCUGCUUCCCUUAUCUAUUAUCUCGUUAUUUUAUUGAUAAUUUUUUUAUUUUUAGCUGUGCAUAUUACCACCCCCUCCUUUCAUGUAGCUAGGUGCUAGGUGUGGCAUGUGGCUAAGUGGAAGUAUUGUGUGGAACUUCCAGAAAGUCUUCUUAAAAGGGAGAGAACAUUUCUUUCUUUUGACCUUCCUCCCAUUCUGCUGCCUGGAGCUGGAUGUGAUGGAUGGAACUCGAGUAUCCACGUUGGACCAUGAGGAGCAGGACCACAUGCUGCAGUUAGCAGAGCAUAGAGUUAGAAGGAGCUUGGGUCCUUAUGACUUCUUGGAGCCACCAUACUAGCCUUGGAAAAUCUGUCCUUUGGACUUCUUCUGUUGUACCAGAGACGUAAACUAUUGUUUAGGCUAUCGAUAUUUUAGUGUUUUUUUUUUUUUUUAACCCCUUUGUAGCUGGACAAAAUCCUAACUGAUACAGGUGUUCAUCUGACAAGAGCAGGGACAGAAUACCCAAUAAGCAAGGUGCUUACUUGUGCUUACUUACUAAUUUGUAGUACACAAUUUCACCUGUUUUUCCAUCACAGAUUAGCAAGUAGAUAUAAUUAAGCCUGCUUACUGUCAGCUUGUGCUUACCUUACUUACUGGUUAGUUUGCCCCUGCACAAUAGUCUUCAAUUAACAAUAAUUGUGAGGAGAGUAUUACUGGAUGCUUUCUAUAUGCCCACCACUGUUCUAAGCCCUUUACAUAAAGAUUUUUCCUUAAUCUCCGUAACAGUUCUGUAGGAUAGAUAUUACUUCUGGGACUCUGAGGCACAGAAAUGUUCACUAACUUGCCCAAGGUCACACAGCUAGUAACUGGAGGACCUGGGCUCAGACUCCUGCUUGACUGACUCGAACAUUUUGUCUAUCACUUUUUUGGACUACCACAUUCCUGGCAAAGACUCUGAAAACAUUCCCUUAAUCAUUUAGGGAGUGAGGCCAAAGGGAUGAUUCAGGAAGCAGAUCUGUGUCACGUGGUAGUCAGGGAAGGCUAACUGCUAUAACCAAGUUUUUGGGGACUCAACACAGUAGAAGCUUACUUACUUCUUACUCAUGUAAAAUCCAGUUGAGAUUGGGAGUGAGAGGAAGCUCUUCUUCAUGCAGUGACUCAGGGGCCAAGACUCCUUGUACUCUCCCCCGCGACAUGCCUGGGGGCCUCAGAGUUCUCUGCUGGGUGCUUUUCAGCCAGUCAGCAUAUACAAGGGGAGAAAAGAUGUGGAGGAUUGUGUGGGAGGUUUGUUUGUUUUUUAAUUUUAUUGUGUUUUAGGGGGAUGUUUACAGUGCAAAUUAGUUUCUCAUUCAAAAAUGUAUACACAGAUUAUUUUGUGACUUGGUUGCAAUUCCACAUUGUGUCGGUACUCUCCCCCUUUCCACCCCGGGUUUCUUGUGUCCAUUCCUCUAGUUUUCCUGUCCCUUCCUGCCUUCUCAUCUUUGCUUUUGGGCAGGUGUUGCCCAUUUGGUCUCGUAUACUUGAUUGAACUAAGAAGCACUUUCCUUGCUUGUGUUAUUGUUUGUUCAAGAGGCUUGUCUAAUCUUUAGCUGAAAGGUAAACUUCAGGAGUGGCUUCAGUUCUGAGUUAGAAGGAUGUUUGGGGGCCACAGUUUCGGGGGUUACUCCAGUUUCUGUCAGACCAGUAAGUCUGGUCUUUGUGAAUUUGAAUUUUGUUCUACAUUUUUUCUCCCACUCUGUCCUGGGCCCUCUACUGUGACCGCUGCCGGAGUGGUGGUAGGCACUCUGUCAGUGGUGGUAGCCAGGUACCAUCUCGUUCUUCUGGGCCCAGGCGGAUGGAGGCUAUGGUUCACGUGGUCCAUUAGUCCUUUGGACUAAUAUUUUCCUACUGUGUUUGGUUUUUAUCAUUCUCCUUUGCCCUGGACAGGGUAGGACCAAUAGAUGUAUCUUAGAUGGCUGCUCUCAAGCUUUUAGACCCCAGACUGUGUGGAAGGUUUUGAUAGGCCAGGUUUAGAGAUGAUGUUAGACAUCACUUCCCGUAAUCCAUUGCUGGUCAGUCACAUGGUCAUGCCUUACUACAGGGCGGGGGCGGGGUGCAGUGCUGGGAAAUGUAGUCUAGCUGUGUGUGCCCAGGAGGUGCAGGAAACAGAUUUUGGGAAGCACGCUGUAAUCUCUUUCACGUGUGAUUGUUGGGAGUGGAGGUUCUGGUGACAGACCACCUGCGUUUAUUUCCCACCCUGGCUGCUUGUUAGCUGUAUGACCUUGGGCAACUCACUUGCCCUUUUUUACCUCAGUUUUUCCAUGUGUGCAGUUGGGGUAAUAAUAGAACUCUUUUGAGGGUUAAAUGAAUUCAUAUGUACAGUACUUGCACCAGUGCCUGAGACAUAGUAAGUGCUCAAUAAUUGUCAACUAUUUUUAUUGUUUAAAGCAGAGACAUUUACUCAGACCUAAACUUGAGGACCUGUCUUUUGAAGAGAACUUUCUCAUUGAGCCCUAGGGUGGCACGGUAACCAGAGAAGAGGUGCUUUGAAUCAUAUGUCAUCACUUAAGAGAAACAAUGGUGACAUGCCAAGAGUGCUUGCUGCUCCUGGAGCCCUCUGCUGUCAUGAGUGGGUCCUCCCAGCCUCUCUGGGGUGGGGAGCAAGACAGGGCUUCCUCCUGUUUGUGUAGUCAGAAGCCCAGUCUCAUGCUGCCUGUGAGGAAGAUAGCCCGUGAGCGUCCUUGCACCUGGAAUACUUUCUCAGACAAAGUCCUGUCUCUUCUUGAAGACUCAGCUCAGUUGUCAUCUGAUCCCUAAAGCUCUGGAUGGAGCCCUGGGUCAGUGUCACUUAGUCCCUUUAUUGUGUACCCUGGGCACUUUAUCACAGCCUGUUUCAUAUGGGUGGUGCAAAUAGUUAAUGUGCUCGGUUGCUAAAUGAAAGUUUGGCAGCUUGAUUCUACCCAGAGGCAUAUUGGAAGAAAGGCCUGGAAGUCUACUUCCAAAAAACCAGCCAUUGAAAAUCCUGUGGAACACAGUUUCACUCUGACACACAUGGGGUCACCAUCAGUUGGAGUCAACUUCAUGGCAACUGUUUUUUUUUGUUUUUUUUUUUUCUGUCUCACAUGGUAAUGAGUCAAAUGCCAGAUUGUUUUGACCAGAUAUAGGUUUAUUGAAGGCACGAGCUGUGUCGUUCUCAUCCUUGUCUGCCCCGCAGUGAGGAAGGUGCUGCAUAAAGUCUUGUUGAAUGUAAUCAUUGCUUUUAUUACCUACAUACAUGGAAAAUUUUGUGCCUGUUGUGUUUAUGCUGAAUCAGUGGUAGAUAAAUUGGUGGGUAGUUUGGAAUAAAAACAAGUGGGUUCUUUUUAAUUUACACUGUUUAAUAUUCGUGUGGGGAUUUUUGCCGUCUUUCAGCUCGGCGGUUGUAAAAUUCUGUUUUAAUUUCUGCCAUUAUCAUAAACAGCAUCAUCUGGUUAUUAUCUGGAUAGAAGAUGCUGCAUCCCAGGACUCUAUUGAACUAAGAUGAAAUAAAUUGUCAGGGUAGGACCUAUAACUAUUGUUGCUUUACCUUCACUCUUAGCUAAGAAGUCCACUUGGUGAUUUGAGCUGGUACAUUUACACUUGUGGGUUUAGAUUCCCAUAUAUACAUAUUUACCCAUUUUUGGUAACCCACAGAAAAACGCUUACCUUUCUCUGUGAGUAUUUGUAUAUACACACAUCUAUAAAAAUGAAAUUACCCACAAAAUCAUUGAAGAUAGAGCUUAGCAAAUUCUGUACGUGGAUACAAUCAAUGGUGCUGCGAGAUAUAGUUAAACAGGUGAUGGAGUUUAGUUAUUAAGCUCGCAUAGAUUGUUUGAUAUACUGAAUAUUUCGUGGAGUGCUAUUAUUUGUAUUCUCAAAUAUUUUAAGAAGAUAAGCUUCUAAAUUCACUUUGGGGCUCUGUGUCAUCAAAUUUCAUCCCCACUCACUUAGAGCCCUAAUUGACUUAUACUCUCUAGACCCAUUUCUUUGCUUCUGUUUCUCUCUGCUCCCUCUAAUGUGCUGUGAGUUACACUGGAAGGAACAAUAAGAUUUAAAGGAAGAAUUAAUUUAGAAAGUUAGGAAUAGAAGAGAUAAGGGAAAAUGAGAAAAAGCGGCUUAGUAUUUUGUCUUGUAAAUGGCUUUCUUCUCGUAGGCCAAGAAGCCCAUUUAUCCAAGGAGAGGAGGCGUGUAAAUGAAAUGGAUCAUGAAUGUAGCUAUUACAGUAAUGAAUUUUAACACUCACUUUGUUAUGUGAUAGUUUAUUUAUGAGUUCCUUGAUCAUUCAGAUAAAGACAAGAAGUUUAUGGCAGUAGAUUAUGUCUUGUUUUCAUAAACAUAUUCAGUAGUUUAAUAAACAUAAUUUAUUUUUUUCUCCUUAAAAAUCAGCAAAAUUUAUGAGAGAUUAUCUUAGGGUUAAUGAAGUCUAACAUUAAGGAAAUAUUACCCUGUAAUACUUGGGCCUUCAGCGCUAGACUUGUAAUUGCUUAAUGCUCUUUUCUACAGGCUGUUUUUAUAAAGUACAUGCUUUGUACCAUUAAUCCAGUUUUUAGAAGUUAGUCUUAGACCAAUUCAUUGGGAGUUAUGUAUCCAUGUUUAUAUUUUUCUGUCACUGUUUUCAUUAAAAGAUGUAGUAAAGAGUUGAAAAUUUAAUGUAGGAAAAGGGGGAAAAGACAAUUAUGUGUAUUUGCUCCUAGGAAGGUAUAAUGCAUGUAUUAUCACGGCUUCUGCCUUGGAAACCAAUUCCCUCUUGUGGUUGUCUUCACCACAGGUGAGAAUUUAGUGAUUUGUGGGUCCUGGGAGGACAGAAAUGUAAAUGCCUAUUGAAAGCCAUCAAUAGUUAAAAUUUGGAGCCCCAUUAAUAUAGUUCAAGUCAGAAUGCACUUAAGUAAUGAAAAGCCCAGUUGACAGGCAGGAGUUUCCCAUUCCCCAGUCAGGCCUGCCAAUUAGCUGGUGUAAUGGAUGCCGAACCCCCAAGAUGGGAUUGAAAGUGGCUGGAGAGGGCAGCUGGGGAAGCCCACUAUGGAUUUUAGUCAUGUGCAUUUGACUGUGUCAGCUCAUUCUUUUUUGAAAUUGAAUUUAAUGUGUUGAAAAAUACCCUCUUGAUGAAUUAAUGAACUAAAAGAGGUAUUGAUAUUUGAAUAGUGGUAGAAGCAAAGCUUCCCACCACCACCACCACACUCCUCUGCCCUGGUUUCCGUAUUUUAAAAGAGAAAGCUUGGCAAGGGCAAAGUUUAAAGGCAUUUUCUCGGAGGCUCUCCCUGCUUACUACUGAUGGGUUGGAUAUGGAAGGAGGAGGGUAGUGGAUAAAGACCUCAGAUCCAUCAGUGACAUAGCUAAUCUCUUACUGAUUUCAACCCUUUUGAUGUUUGCCUUUGGGCUAUUUUGAUGUUCUUUGGCAUUAAGAUGUACACGUGCUUGUGAUAGACAAAAAUCAGGGAACGUGAAAGUUGUGUAGACUUGAGUCGAACCGUGGGCUCAGUGGUGAGGAAGGAUAUCACACAUACAUGCUGUCCUGUCCCCACCCCAGAGAACUAGAAUUAGAUUUGAUUCAUACGUGCAUUAAAAAAAGAAAAAAAGAAAAAAGAUUGGUUGAGAGUUCACUGUGAAAUCUUACUGUUCUGGCUCUAGCAUCCAAGAAUUCACAAGGAUAAGCUUCUUGUCCACUUGGAACUCAUCAUCCGUUUAGAAACGUUCUAAGAACUUUUAAAAAUUGAAGGAGGAAGAUGUGAGAAAAAGGAGAAUGUAGCCUAAAAAAAUGAUAUAUAUUAAUUCCAUGAGCUUUUUUUUUUUUUAAUUUUUUAAUGCGUAACUUUUUAAAGAUCUCAAGGUUUUAUCUCCCAAACAAAGGGAGGCAGUAAGACACGGUAGCAACAUGGAAGCUUAGUGUGUUGGUACUGUUUUAUACUAGGACUGGUUUCAGACCAUGUCCUGUUUUCCCUGUAAAUGCAGGUGUUCGGUGCCCAGGCAGUUGAGCGGGGUGUUAACACAAGAAACGCGGGCCACAUUCACCUUGUAAAAAUAUAGUGGGCUUUGAAGAUGGAUUGCUUGGGUUUAAAUCUUGGCUUCACCACUUACUAACUCCAUUUCCUUGGACAAGGAACAUAACUUCUCUGAACCACAGUUUUCCUUAUCUGUGAAAUGGGGCCUAUAAGAGUUAUCUACUCUACAGAAUUCUUGGAGACAUUCACUGAUACAACUCAGACAAAAUUUCUUAGAAUACCUGACUCAUACUAAGCUUUCCAUGAAUGUUAUUUAUUAUUUUAUUGGCAACUAUAUAUGGUCACAGAGUCUCCAAGUGGUGUAAAUGGUUAAUGUGCCUGACUUCUGACUGACAGGUUGGAAGUUUGAGUCUACCCAGGGGUGCCUCAGAAGAAGGACCUGGUGAUCUACUUCUUAAAAAUCAGCCAUUGAAAAUCCUAUGAAGCACAGUUCUGCUAUAAAACACAGAGGGUGGCCAUGUAUUGAGGUUGACUCAACAGCAAGGUUUAUUGGAAACUCCUAUGUAAUCUGCUUACUCACUUCAUACCACUCUCUUUGUCAGUGGCGCACCAUUUUGUGGACAGAUAUUAGUGUGACCAGAAGGAAGGGAAGCUUCAUUUAUUCCUACCAGGAAAGAAAGUGACUCCCGGAAGGAAUCGAGACUUACUUUAAUCAGUCAGUGGGUGUGCAUACAUUAUCCCUUUCUCAUUUCUAUUUGCAAAUUUGGUCAGAAUGCUCAGGGAACAAGGUAUCUUGGAUAAUCCAAUUUUCUGACUAACUGAUGACAACACUUUCAUUUCAACUUUUAUUUUUGAAAAGUCUUUCUAAAAUCCACUAAAGUCCUUUGUUUCCUUAGGAAGUAUAGUGAAUAGUAAAAUUUAAUCUUUCUUUAACAGUGAAAGAUUUCAGAGCCAGUUCAGAAAAUCUCUUCAUGUUGGUCAGAAAUAUAAAGUAGGUAUAGAAGAUUGGACCACAUGUAUACUGAGCCCAGGACUGCUCUCAAAAGAGUUUUUAAUAACGUUCUUCAAGAAACUUUCCCUUAGUAGAGUAUGGGCAAGAAAUUAUGAUUGAUGGUUCUGGGUUUUUGGGUUUUAGCUUUAAAAAUAUAUAUACAUUACAGGAAAAUCUCUCUUACCUCAAGCCUUCAGUGGAGUCACACACAGUAGACGUGUCACCUUGAGAAGAAUAACUACUUUAUUGUCAGAAUCAAGGAUGGCAUUGUGGCAAUCAGUUUACUACUUGGGUAAACGAGAUACAGCCUAGCUUUUUUCCAGCUUAGAAAUCUUUCUUAUUUGUUUCCCCCUUACAGUGAGUGGUAUACAGUUUCAAGUCAGUGUAUUUGUUUUUUCUUGUUCUAAGCCAGAGCUUUUUGGUAGCCAGGUUGGGAGAUAGUGUGUUGUAUUAGAUCUAAAAAAAAAAAAGAAAACCAAAACCAAAUCUGUUGCUAUUGGAUCGAUUCUGACUCAUGGAGACCCUACGUGUGCAGAGUUGAACUGUACUCUAUAGGGUUUUCAAGGCUCUGAACUUCAGAAGCAUAUCACCAGGUCUUUUCUUCCGAGGAGUGUCUGGGUGGGUUGGAACUGCCAACCUUUUGAUUAGUAGUUGAGUGCUUAACGGUAUACACUACCCAGGGACACCUGUUAUAUUGGUUAGAAACAAACAAAAAAAAAACCUGUUGCCGUCAAGUUGAUUCCGACUCAUAGCGGCCCUACAGGACAGAGUAGAACUGCCCCAUAGAGUUUACAAGGAGUGCCUAGUGGAUUUGAACUGCCUACUUUUUGUUUAGCAGCCAUAGCUCUUAACCAUUACAACAGCAGGGUUUCCGUUGUAUUGUGUAGAGCCCUGGAAUUGGGAAACUUGGUUUUUAGAUCUGCCCCUACCUUGUUUGGCUGUAUGAUCUUGGAUUUGUGGCAGACUCUCUCGCAACCUCAACUGUCUCCCCUGAACAAUGCUGGGGUCCUAACAAGGCCGAUUAAGGCCUGUAAAGGCCCUAAACACUGAUAAUCUGUGGUGCCCCUCCUCUGCUUACUCGCGCUUUCAAAUGGGAUGUGAGUUAGAUAUGUACACAUGUGUGUACAUAUAUAUGUGUGUCUUGGAUAUCCAUGAUGUAACUUCUUUUUAAACGCAACUAUAUAUAUAUAUAUAUCAAUAUUAUUAUAUAUAGUGUUAGCAAUUGAAUGAAAAAGUGAUGUAUGCUACUUUAGCAGAAUGAGAUGAACUGGAUUAAAAAAUUUUUAGUGGGUGCUGGGUGCUAAGAUUUUUACUAUAUACCAUAUUUUCUAUAUAUUCUACAACAAAGAAAAUGAGUAAGUAAACUUUGUAGCUUUAACAGUCAGUGUAAAAUUCUGUUGAUCUCCCACAACAAAAAAUUAACUUUCACCCAUUUUGCUUUAAAUGGCUCAUAGUUCAAUUUUGAUGCUUGUUUUGUAAUAAAUGCUAUAAUUAUUAAUGAACAAAUGGAAAACUGUCAUAAGAGAAAAUGCUCAAAAAACAUUAUUGUGUUUUAUUUUUAGAUAGAUCUUUCAUCUCUAACAUGUUGUAAUUAAAAACAUUUCUUUGCAUUGUUUGCUCUUACAAACUUUUCAAUGAUUUCAUCACAAUUAAGCUGCCAAACACUAUGUACUUCCAUACAUAACAAGGAUAAUGAAUUGAGUCUUUCUUGAAUCCCUGUUGUGUGCUCACUUUUCCUUGUGUCCUAUCGGCUUGACAUCUAUGGGUCUUUGCUUUGGGAAACUGGUGCCCCUGCUUUGUUGAUGCCCCAAGCAUGUGCUUACCUUGCUUAUUGUGUUAUCCCUCCCUGAGUACUAAUCCGUGCUUUCUGAGGUCUCAUCUGUUUGAUCAUUUUUACUAAGAGCUUCUUGAAUGUAUCAGACUUGCUGUCUUUGUUUACUCCUUCGUUAUAAUUAGGAGGCUUCAGGAACUGUUAGUCAGCGAAUCUGGUUGCAUGGGAUCCCAGUUACGGGGGGUAACAGAUUCAUUUCAUGCUUACUUUAUCCUCCCUUCUUCAGUUUUCCCUCCUCCCUGUCUUAGCUUCUCACUUUCUCCUCUUUUUCUCCUGUCUGACUCCUCCUUCCUGCCCCAGGUUCCUCCCCAGCUCAUCUAGAUUAUUGAUCGGAAAUCACCAACUAGUUUCUGUAACCGUGUCAUCAACGGCUGCCAAGGGUCUUGUCAUUAUUCCAGCCACACACAGUAAAUGACUGGGGGAAAAUAGCAUUUUCCAUCUCAGGUACAAAGUAUUCCAAUCUGUGGCUGAGCUGGGGUUUUUGUUUAAACUGCCUCUGAAAGUCUUUCUGCAAAAGCAGCCUGUUAUGCAAAAGCUGGGAGUUAUUUCACAGAGCCCCGUUUAGAUUCUCUGAAUUUUCUGUACUUCCACAUUUCUUGAGCUCGCCCUUGCUUCCUGCCUGUGUGAUGCACAUUGGAGGAGGUACACAAAGGAAUUGUGCAAAGUUUGGAAGCAACUAGCAGGUGGGUUUGCAUUUUUCCAGGUUAAUUCACUUGAUGAAAAGCUGCUGUGGGUGAUGUGUCAUAUAUCAAAGGCAGGGCAUCAGUAAUCUUUGCUCAAGGGCACAGCUAACAGACAGAUAGACGGGAGAAUGAGAUGGAAAAAAGCAACUCAUCCUUUUCUGCUAACACCACAAAGGAGAUAAAGGAAGAUUUAUGAGUCAUCUCGGACCACAUACCAGCAAGCAGCACACCGUAUUUUUCACAUGUUCCCAAAAUUGGUGGUGGAAGGCAAUCUGGUUGUCACUGUGUCCAUCCAGUCCUGUAGGAAACAGUGGGAUCCUUGGACCUUUUGGCUGUGGAGUCAGCUCUUUGCCCCCCCUGCAAAGAGAUGUGUGUGUUCACACUCGGCGUCGGUACGCACUUUCCAAGCAUCUUUGCCCUCUUUAAGAAAGUGACCUCUGUAGAAUAAAAAAACAGAGGAUUACCUGAAGCAGAUGUGGCUAAUGAGUCCUGGACACUUAGAUGAUGCAGACUUUUUCAGCUGACACUCACCUAUUUAAUUUUACUUUUGUGAUAACCAGCCUCAUGUGUUUACCGAUUUUGGGUGUGAGGAAGCGGGGAGGAGGGGGAGACUGUUGGUUGCUUUUUUUUUCUUUUCCUACCUUUGAGUUGAGCCAACCUUGGCCAGACACAAAGAGGGCUUUGCAGCCCAGGUUAAUUUGAAUGGGCUGUUUUGUGUGGUGUUAACCCAGGACACUAGUUACUAAAAAAAAAAAAAUAGGGCUUCUUUAUUCGGGCAGCUCAGCAGCUGUCUCUGAAAGUGUUGUGAGGAACAAUUGAUAGAAGUGUGGAGAGGCUUCUGGAUAUUUCUCUCCCCAGCCUUGAAAAAGGCACCUGGAUUGCAGCUGGGUCACGCCUGGGUUUGUGACUGUUUACUUCACAUGGCAAUUUAAAAAGUACUGUAAAUUCCAAAAAAUGGUUUUGAAUUUUUUUUUUCUAAGGCCUCUGCAGUGUGCUACAUUUUUUGUUGAGAGGCAUGCAAUUAACAUUCCGUGCAGAAGGGCAUGAUUGAUUCUGCACAGUGGUGGCUAUAUGAGCAAACCUCAUUUAGACAGCUGAGUGAAAUAUACAGGGCAGAGGAAUUUAUGGGACCCAGAGAAGCUCACGUGCAGAAUGAAAAGGAGCCGCCUUCCCCACUUUCCUUCCGCCCCUGUAUCCCAGCCCUCACUCCCUCAGAAUUGCUCCCCAUCCAGCCGCCAGGGUGCCCACUCUUUGUCGUGAUGCCGCUUCGCCUGACAUCACCUGGCAGAGAAGAUUGAAUGCCACUUAAUCAUGCAGCCCUCCUGUGGGAAGCAUAGAGUAUGUAAUCAGAUAGACAGGAGGAGCUUUCAGAAUCUGUUAUGUGAGGUCGACAGGGACUCUGACGGAGUCCUAGAAAGAUGAGGAGGGAGCGGAGGAUGGCAGCUCCAGCUACUACACCAUAUCCUAAGAAAUGCCCCCAAAGAGGGUGGCUUGCUAAGUGUUCCAGGCUUUGACACUGACCUUCAGCAGGAUGGGUAAUUUGCAGGGUUGGGCAUUCACCUCAGAAGAUACGGGAAUAUCACCAACUUACUUUUGCCAAGUGAGCUCAGUACAGGAAUAGAUUAGUUUUAUGUUGUUCACCAAAGUAUCUGGCACAUAAUUGCUUUUAUUUGUUGUUGAGUUGGCUCCGACUCAUGGCGACCUUACAUAUAACAGAAUGAGAUGUUGUCUGGUUCUGUGCCAUCUCCACGAUCGUUGGUAUACUUGAGUCCAUUGUUGUAGCCUCGGUGUGUUUUGAGUCCCUUCCAACCUAGGAGACUCAUCUUCUAGCACUAUGUUGGACAGUAUUCUGUUGUGGUCUGUAGAGUUUUCAUUGGCUAAUUUUCAGAAAUAGAUAGCCAGGCCUUUCUUCCUAGUUUAUCUUAGUCUGGAAGCUCUGCUGAAACCGAUCUCCAUGGGUGACCCUGCUGGUAUUUGAAAUACUGGUGGCAAAGCUCCCAGCAUCACAACGACAUGCAAGCCACCACAGUAUGAAAAACUGGUAGAUGGUUGGUGGCAGGCACGCAGUAGGCUGUCUAUAAACAGUUGGUAUAUUGAAUUCACUUAACUCUCACUGGGAUGUGGGGUGCUGGAGAGAAAGCAUUUUUAGGUAUUUGGUUUGCUGCUCUGUCCCUGGUGCCCUAGGCAGCAUCUGUAGUGUGUGCUCGAUAAGCAUUUGUUGAUAGAGUGUGUGAAUGACAUUGUGGAAUGACGUCUGGUAGACAGAGUUUCUCAUUUCUUUUGAGUCCUGACGUAGGGAUGGCUUCAACUAAGGUGGGAAAUGAGAGGGAAGUUUUUUAGCUUCUUUUGAGCCCUUCUCUGGGGUUCAGAUGCUUCUCUGUUGCCUUGUUCAUGGCUCUCACAACCCCUUCUAGUCUCCAUUUUCUCUUGUUUUUUCCUAAAAAAAAAAAAUUAUUGUCCACUUAAUGACUUAGUACUGUGAGGAAGACUGAUAUCAUUCAUUGACUCUCUAGUGUAAAUUAGGCCAAAAACUUAAAAUUAUUUCCUCUUCAAGGGUCUUUUUGAAUUUUUUGAAAGUUGUUCGAUUGGAAUCUUUUCCUGAUAUAUUUGUGCUUUGUGUCUGUAGUAGGCUGAAAAAUUGCCUCCCAAAAGAUAACAGGUCCUGACCCCUGGAACCUGUGAAUAUUAUCAUAUAUGGCAAAGUCUUUGCAGAUGUGAUUAAGCAUUUUGAGAUGGGUAGAUUAUCCUGGAUUAUCUGGGUGGGCCCUAAAUGCAAUCACAUGUAUCGUUUUUAAGAGGGAGGCAGAGGGAGAUUGGACCCCCACACACAGGAGAAGGCCAUGUGAAGACAGUACAGAGAGAGAUUUGAAGAUGUUGACGUUGAAGACUGGAGUAAUGUGGCUGCAAGCCAAGGAAUGCCGGCAGCCACCAAAAGCUAGGAGAAGCAAAGAACGGAUUCUCCUUUAGAGCCUCUGGAAAGAGCACAGCUUUGCCAACGCAUCGAUUUUGGCCCAGUGAUACUGAUUUUGGACUUCUAUCCUCCAGAAUUGUGAGAGAAUAAAUUUCUGUUGUUUUAAGUCACUAAAUUUGUGGUCAUUUGUUACAUCAUCCAUAGGAAUGUGAUAUAGUCCCUGAAGGCCCUGGUGUUAGCCUCUCACCACUCCCAGAUGGCAGGCACAUCAGGGUCAGAACUGGUCAGUCCACUUUUUUCUCAUGGACAUACUUUAUAGGUGAGGACUCUAAGGGAAAGAAAAGGGGCAAAUUAUUAUAUGGAUAUCUUUAGUAAUUGCUCCACUGUGCAUUAUCAUUAUUUUAGUCUCAUAACAACCUUGUACAUUGAAUGGAUAAUAAUAACCUCAUUCUACAGGCAAGGGAACUGACUAUCAGGUUGUAACUUACAUAAAGAAAGACACCCAGCUAGCAAAUACCGAAGCUAGGAUUUGAAUGUAAGUAUCCCAGAUCCCACCCACUGCUGACAAAUUGGUUCCGACUCACAGCAACUCCAUAGGGUUUCCAAGGCUAUAAACCUGUUUGGAAGCAGACUGCUACACCUUUCUUUCAAAGAGCUGCUGAUAGUUUUGAACUGUCGACCUUUUGGUUAGCAGCCCAUAGCUUUAACCGUGGCGCUACCAGGGCUAUCCUAGAUCCUAGUUCAGUAUUUUAUCCCUUAUCCCGUGCUACUGUUUUUCAUUUCUGUGCACACACUGUUUUCCAAGUCUCCAGCUAGAAUCAGACACAGAGAUAUUCCUCUUAAGUUCUGUUCCUUUUCUCUGAAUGUGGUCCUUCAGUCCCAACCUCUGUUACAUUAAAUUAAUUUGGCCCAACCUAGAAAAGGCUACUUUUACCUUAUGUCAGAGAACUUGACCCUGAUAGCCAGGUAGAACUUUGAAGUUCUUUAGUGUAAAAAACAAAACUGUGUUAUAGUACAAUACGAUUGUGUGUGUGUGUGUUGAUGUGGGUGAGUGUGUGUGUGAGAGGGAGAUGAGAGAGAGAAUUGGGACACAUGCUGGGAUUAUUGUGAGCUGGAAAUUAAAAAUGCUUUGGGGGGUUUUUUUUGGAUGACAAAAUGUAACUGGUCUCACAGGACACCCCCUUUUUCAGACACAGCCUCUUCUUGAAUCACCCAGAGCUAGCAAUUCAGAACUGAGAUAUCAGUGUAGAAAGAACAUUAUUCCAAGGAGAAGUCAGGCAUAAUGGAAGCUGGAACCCAUCAAGGAUGGGCAAAGUGGGUGCGUGUCCUAUGGAACAUGCAGGGUUUGAGGGAGUGUUUUGAUUGUAGAAAUUACAGUUAGAGGUUUGCUUCAGCCUUCAUGCUGUCAGAUUGGGGAAGUUUAACUUUGAGUACAGCUGCUAGAGACAUACAAAGUCACCAUUCUCAUCUGUGGCAGUCCUUGCUGAUUCCAGCAAAUUAUAAAAUUAUACAACAGGAGCUGAGUGUGAUACCACUACUUCAAUUGUUACAAGAAAAACCUUCCAAAUCUGAGCAUUAUUAAGAAAUGAGCAAAUGCCUUAUUUGCAACAAGUUUCUCCACUGCAAGCACACACACACACACACACACACACACACAAAAUAUGCGGCAGAGAAAAUUGGCAGUCUUCUGAUGAUCAGAUUUAACAGCUGGAAGACUCCCAUUCAAAGUACUUUUGUAGUAAUAAAGCUAAUAAUUUUUUUCACAAACUGCCUUGAUAGCCAUAAUUCUGUUUUCUUAAGAUGUCUGUUAUCUAUACUUGAAUGAAAACACACAUACCUAUUUUGGUCCAUCAUUAUUGUAAGUAUGGCGGGAGGUUAGUGUUGUCUUUUCUCUUUAUAUUUUCUUCCUUUUCUCUCCCUUACUUUUUUUUUUUAUGUAUGUCACCCUAUAUUUGUAAGUUUUUAAUAUAUAAAAAACAACGAAAUAAUAUGCCAUUUCUUUUCAACAUUGUUCAUGUCAGGCGUUUCAUCCUCGUUUCUGCCCCACCCUUUGACUUCUGUAGUCAGUGGAUCAAGAACUGUGGUUUUAAAAAUUUAAUUAAAAAUUUUUUUCAAUUGAAAAGGUAGUAUAUGCCAGAGUUAAAAAUAUAAAUAGCACCAAAAUGUAUGAAUGGAAUGUAAGACUUCUCCUCCACUACUUUCCCUUCCCUAGGGGGGAAGUUUUUUGUGCAGUUCUCCAGAAAUUCUCUGUGUAUAUUCAAGCAAAGGACCAUAUAUUCAAAGAAUCGUGUAAUAGGAAAAUAAAACUAGAUUGGCCUUGUGCAGGCUGAGAGCAGGAGGGGGCAAAAGAAUGAUGGAUGAGAGAGAGAUGGAUGGGUGAAGUGAGCCUGGCGGUGACCAAGUUGUAAUUCAGAACAUUGUGCAAACUCUUGUUGCAUGGAUCUCACACCAUGUUAUUUCAUCAAGGAAUAGGGCGUGGGUUUAGAAGUUGUAGAAAUCCAGGAGGAGAAAGUGAGUUCCACAGUGUCAUUGUUUGCUAUAGUCCAGAGUGAGAGAACUGUGAGUAAUGGGGUAAAAUUAAGCAGAAAGGAAUUUAAGCUGGGAAAAUCAGGACAAAUUUCACAAUGGGGAGAGUACGUGGAUAUGGUGUCCUCAGGGAGGUAAUAGAAGCCGAGGCACUAAAGGAGCUAGAAACAAGACUUGACAGAAAGCGUGAGAAAACGGACAAUGGGGAACUGUCCCUGGGGAUUGGUGCAGUGACCUUAAUCAGGUUCUUCCCUCCAUAGCUCUGGAUUCACUGAUUCAGUCUCAAAUGAUCAAUGGAAAGAAACAAUUGCUUGGAAAAUGGCCCUAGGGAAUAAUAGCUAUUAACAGUAGAUACUGUCUGACUCUCCUGUAAGAAUUAACUCCAUCCAUCCAUCCAUCCACCCAUCCACCCAUCCACCCAUCCACCCAUCCACCCAUCCACCCAUCCACCCAUCCACCCACCCACCCACCCACCCACCCAUCCACCCAUCCACCCACAUAUUCAUUCACUUAUCCAUCCCUUCAUCCAUUUAAUAUAGUUUUCAGCACCUACUACAUAUAUAGAGUAUUGAGGGUACUUUAGGUAGGGUGGUCAUAAGUCAUCUCUGAAGAGGAGAUGUUUAUGGUGAGAUUAGUGAUUCAGAAUGGAAGGAACUGAGGAAGAACAUUCCAGACAGAGGGACAGCAUGUGCAAAGGCCACGAAGUAUGAAAAGGCCUGGCCAGUUGGAAGAUCGGAGAGAAGACUGAUGUAACUGGUGUGAUGGUUAAGAUUGUGUGUCAGCUUGGCUCGGCCAUGGUUCUCAGUGUUUUGGCAGUUGUAUAAUGUUGUGGUCACAUUCCUGUUGAAAUUUGAUAUGUGAUCACCCCCUUGGUGGAAUCUGCUGAAUGAUACUGGUGGGGGUGGGGUCUGUGGCGGCUCACAGCCCCCUCAGCCUUCAUCUCUCCGCCUUCUGCCACCUAUUUCCUUCCUGCUCGCCUUGCAAAUGUUGUUGGCUUCUUCUGGAUCCGAAAUCUGUCUCUCCUCUGACCUCUGGUUCUUGGGACUUGAGCUAGCAGCUUACCUGUCCAUCUUGGGAUUCGCUGAUCUUCACAGCCUGUGGGUAAGAGUCCUGCUCCCCAACCUGUCUAUCUUGGGUUCACUAGCCCCUGAAGCUAAGUGACUCAGGAGAAACCUUGCAGCCCUGCCUGCUGACCUUGGGGAUUCCUUGUCUGUCACAACCUGUGAGCAGGAUCCAUGCUCUCCAAUCUGCUCAUCCUGGGUUCACCUGCUUCUGUGGCCCUGUGAAUCUGGAAAGGACUCUAUCCUGAUCCAAAGAGUUGGGACGUUCCAACCACUACAAUCACAUGAGCUGUUUCCUUAAUAUAAAUCUCUCUCUCUAUAUUUAUGGCAACCCUGGUGGCGUAGUGGUUAAGUGCUAUGGCUACUAACCAAGAGGUCAGCAGUUCGAAUCUACCAGGUACUCCUUGGAAACUGUAUGGUGCAGUGCUACUCUGUCCUAUAGGGUCGCUAUGAAUCAGAAUCGACUCGACAGCAGUGGGCUUGGGCUUUAUAUCUAUUUAUACCCAUUACUGGUUUUGCUUCUCCAGAGAACCCAACCAAAGACAACUGGCUAGGUAAAGGGGGAUGAAGAGGCUGAAGAAGGAGUUGAGGAGUCAGGCAGGAACCAGAUUAUGCAGGGUCUGGUGGGCUCAUACUAGGAGUUUGAUGUUUAUUUUAAGACAAUGGGAUUUAGGUUUAGAUUUUGGAGGGUCUUUUCUUUCUGCUUUCAGACUUACUUUAUACCCAUUGGUAUCUACUUUUUAGAAGUCAAUUGUGGUUGUCAGAGAAAUGUGGGAGGGUUGUUGAGCACUUUUAUGAAGAAAGGUAUGGUACAGGGUUUGUAUUGCCAAGUGUGGGAAAGGCAAGUUUGGCAACUGGGUGAAACUGGCAAAGGGGAUUCAGCCUGUCUUAUAGUUAUGUUUUUGCUUCAGGUGGUUAGGGUUUUCAGGAAAGGGCCAUCGUAUGAAGGUAGUUAGUACCGGAAAAGGACCACCUAAGAUGAAUCAAAAUACUAUGGUAAAUAGGAAAAAUAAAUUUGGGAUUUAAUCUCGAAAACUGAAACUCAAAAUUAUAUAUAUAUUUUUAUCAAAAACAUUCAGUUGUAAUUGUAGUCUAAUUCUUAGAACAAAAAAUUCAACUAUUUAAUUUUUUUGCCAUAAUUUUUCUGACAAGAUGUCAUGUUGGCACUGUCUUUUACUUCAUGUUUGUGUUCAUAGUAUAAUCAUAAAUGUUUGAUUUUGCAAAAUUUGGUCCUCAUCAAUUUUAUAAGAGCCUUUCUCAAUUCUUUGAUAUUUAACUCAGUCUCUUAUAAAAUUCCUAUUUUAUCAUUCUCUUGAUUUUCUCUUUUUUGAUUGGCAGUUAGUCUAAGGGUGUAAGAUUAAUGGUUUCUAGUGUAAUUUGACCAUUUCUCCAACAUCAGUUCAGUUGACGUCAUGAAACCCCACACCUUCUGCAGAAGUUUCAGUUUCCUUUUGCAGUUUUUUUUUUUUUACUGGAGUUUAUGUAACUUUUGGCCAUCAGUGUAAGCCUGACAGACAUAAACUGUUGACACAGUCAUCAGGGAUGGAUGCUGCUUGGGAAGGAUGUUUGAGAGGGGGCCAGUUUUAUAAACUGUGAAUUCAUUCAUGAGCCUUUUCAAGUUACGAUGACUUUUGCUUCCCUAUGCAGAUUCAAAGCUGAAGUACUCCAAUAGCAGAUAUUUAAAUAUUUGAGGCUGCUCCUUAUAAUAAUUAAGCACCUAACGUGUAUCUGGCUUUUGGAAGGGCAUAAAAGGUACGAAAUGCUUUGUACCUUUUGGUAUCAUCACAUAUCUAAUUGGGUUUAGGUGUAAAAGUGUAUCAUUGUUGGAGUGGGAGGAGACAUUUUGUAGCCAGAGUGCCCAGCCCCUCAGUGUGCUCUUGCUAUGGUGUUUGAAGGAGUGAGUGGUGGAGAAAUUCACCAGGGCUACACGGAUAGGCAGCUUCACUCUGGGAUACAGCUUGAAAUUUGCUUCUGGAAGUGGGUGGAUCUGGGCCGAGUUUAAGGGGAAAAAAAAAAUAAAAUGGAAAGUUUUUCCUCUUGUUAAAAAAAAUUUUUUUUUUUUUCAGAAAAUAAUAUGAAUGUUUCUCCUCAUCCCAUCUGAACCACUACUGACAUUCUGGGCCAAAUAAGUCUUUGUUGUGGGGCUGCCCUAUGCAUUGCAGGAGAUUUACCAACAUCCCUGGCCUCUACCUACUAGAUGCCAGUAGGAAAUGAUCCCCUCUACCCAUGGAAACCAAAAAUGCCUUCAGACGUUGCCCAAUGUCCCUGGGGGACAAAAUCACCCUUGGCUGAGAAUCUUGAUCUAGAGAUAGUCCAGAGAGGUUGCAACAGAAAGAUUGGAAUAUGCUAAAUAGGUAAAGGAAGUGACCACUUCCAGUUCUGGCCAAUUUACUGGGCUCUUAAACACAGUCCUUAGAUCCAGGGGAAGGAUGUUUCUUACUUGUAUGGGAAUGAACCCAGUGGAGUCUCCUUUGGGUCCAGUGGAACAAGCCUGGUGAGAGGGACACAUUGGGAGCAUCAGAAUUCUGGAUCAGGUGGGACCCGGGUGAAGCUACUGGGAAGGUGUCAAAUGAAUGUCUUCUAUGUCCUUGAGUUGUGGGUGACCUGAGGUCCCAGGACCAUUGGCUAGGGUAUUCAUAUCAGCUCACCAUUCCUCAAUGUUAUAUUUGCCCCAGCCUUUUUUUUUUUUUAGUCCUUAGGUCAAGCUGUUUCCCCUACUGUGAAUACCCUCUGGCUUUCUGGCUUUCUUUAUAUCUUUGUAAAUAUGACCAAGUUUUUAAGAUCCAAGUAAACUCUUUUUUUGUUGUUGUUAUUACUCCUCACACCUCCCUGAAGACGAGCAAAACUCUGGUAUGAAGCCUCUUCAACUUCUCUGGCCCACGUGUGAGUUCUUCGUGCUCUAACCCCCCACAUCACUCAUUAGAGCUUUUAUUUGAGCAUUUCAUCAAAGAUAGUUUUAAAAUUUUGUGGGCCUCUCUCAUCUCCCUGGCGGAAUUAUAAACUCUUUCAGGGCUUGGACUGUAUCUUUCUAAUCCCCCUGAUUCGUAACAUAGCAUAGUAGGUACUGAGUCAAUUCUAAGUGAACCAAAGUAGAUUGAAGUAAAUCGGCUUGCUCAUUCACUCAGCAUUGUGUCUUGCAGAUCCUCUCCACACACUCCAGCCAUAACUCUUUACAUAGUUUGGGGAGACAGUACAUGGCUUGACAGUUCUCCAAAUAUAAAAAUAAUUUAGCUCACACUUAAUUUUUAUAAGAAGGUAAGUUUAAUAUUGUCAAGCAUUACAAUUUUUCUUUUUAAGUUCUUACAUCCUUUCUGUUUCUCUUAAUGUCAUUUUGGCUUCAAAGAGUGUAAUUUUAAAAUUAUGAGUACUGUUGGACUUGUUAGUGUUUCUUCUUUUGUGUAUAUAAUGUUUCAAGAGCUGUUGAUGGCUAAAUGUCGUUUUUGUACUUUUUGGAUUCAUAACAGUUCAAUUACAUUCAAAAACAAUUAAUAAUAUGUAUCUUAGAAAUAGCUGUCAUGUAUCUGGUGGAUAUGACAUAUUGUUAGGUGUUUCAAGUUAAAGUUCUGUAUCCAGGCCAAGUUUAGAAAGACAAGGAGCAGACUGUUUUAUAGACAAGCAGAAGAAUACAGCAAAUUUAUGACAAAGAAUACUACCAUAAUGUAGCCAUGCUUGGGAAACUCGCUUCUCAACUCAAAAAAUAAGCCAAUUAUCAGUAGCCUAUAGCAAAUACUUUUUUGUUGUUGUUCCUUUAUUUAUAUCUGGUUUCAUUCUGAAAACAGCCGGAAAGCCUGACAAGUUAAAGGAGAAGAUAUUACCACUAAAUACACACCACCCAAGGCAGUUUUCCCAGAUUCUUGAGGGAAGCUUGCUCCAGCUCAGACACAUUGGCUCUGUGAUUUUUAGAAUUUAAGCUGGGAUGAAAGCUCUUUAUAAAGGGUCAUUGUUUUCAAAAUGGAGCUCUCCAGACUGGAAGGAAAUAGGGUCUGUCAAGAAUGAUGUCAGUUGUGGGAAGGGUGGAGGGAGGAUCCUGUGACGCCACCUCAAUCAGGACGUGUUUGGUUUUAUCUACCUUUAUUUGGCUCUGUCCUAGUGGACAUUAACUUCUCUUUCAAGAAGCGAGUCUCUUUGAGAUUUGAUCUUUUUCUUUGGAGAUUUUGUAGGGCCCAUUAGGAGGGGCCUAGCCAGGAGAUUAGGCUGUCCAGUCAAGGAUUUUCAUUAUUAUUUUUAUAGAAGGAGGUCAGAUUUAGAUUUUGCUACUCUUUUAGCCUGUCCCAUAAAAACACCUGAGAUUUUCUAUUGAUAUAAACUUUACGGUAUUUGGUCUGCAAAGAAAUGCAUGGCAACUUUUUAUACUUAACCUAACAGCGUUGCAUCUUCAGGUGUUGGGAAAUUCAGCAAUAGUCAGCAUAAUGAGUCAUGAUGUCUUAUGUGGGACCUUAAGCAUAGACAGUGUAAUCCUUGCCUUAUAGUCUUCCCAUCACCUGUGAACUGUAUACAUGAGGUGAUAAGCAGCCUCCUUGUGUUUGGAAACUGCCCAGAUCCCACUGAGGAGUCUUCUUAAGCUGCUCAAACUGCUUCAAAGGAGUCUCUUGGUGGCCUUGAGAGUCCUCUAUCUUAAUUCUUUUGUUUGUUUAUUUUAUUGUGGUAAGAAGAUACAUAACAAAAUAUAUACCAUCUCAACAACUUCUACACUUACAAUUCAGUGACAUUGAUUACAUUCUUCAAAUUGUGCACCAUUCUCACUAUCCUCUUCCAAAUCAUUGCACCAUUAACAUAAACUCAGUGCUCCCUAAGCAAAAACUCCCUCCCAUACCUAGUAACCCCUAAUAACCUUUAGUUUCUAUAUAUUUGCUUAUUUCAUGUAAGGGAGAUCAUACAAUAUUUGUCCUUUUGAGACUGACAUUUCACUCACCAUGAUGUUUUCAAGGUUCAUUCAUGUUGUGGCAUAAUGCAUCAGGACUUCAUUUCUCUUACGGCAGAGUAGAAGUCUAUCGUGUCUGUGUACCACAUUUUGUUUAUCCAUUCAUCUGUUGAUGGGAAUUUCAGAUGUUUCUGCCUCUUGGCUGUUGUGAAAAGUGCUGCAGUGAACUUUGGUGUACAGGUUUCUGUCUGUAUUCUUGCCUUCACUUCUUCUGGGUAGGUACCUUGGAUUGAAAUUCAUGAGUUAUGGAUCAACUUUUUGAUGAAACACCAAACUAUUUUCCACAGUGGCUGCACCAUUUUACAUUCCCACCAGCAAUGGAUGAGGGUUCCAGUUUCUCCACAACCUUGUCAAUACUUCUUGUUUUCUUUUUGAUCAUUACCACUCUAAUAGGGUCCACCUCAACUCUUAUGGCUAUCUAUGAAUGGACUUACCUUUCAGGAGCUCCGGAAACCUCUAGGAGUCUCCAGCGUUCAGGUAGAACUGGAAACAUGAUAAGUGUAGGCCUUGGGAUGCUGGCAUAAGAUACUAAGGCAGAGGAAAAGUGUGGAGGGUACUUUCCUUCUAUUGACUUCAGACCUGUCUGAACUAGGACGCUGAGCCAGCUAUGAAUACCCGGCCAAGGAGCUCAGCUUACCAACCAGAGGCUGUUAUAAUUAGUCUUAAUGUCUGCCUCUUUCACUUUGCUAUUUGAUAUAAUUAGCCCUACUCAAAACUCCAGGAGAAGAAACUACUCAAAGCUCCCUUUAUUGUUUGUCACCUCAGGGCCACCACAUUCAUUCUGUGCUAUUUUGAUGCCAAACAGUGAGAAAAACAUUUUGAACCAAAGAUGGCAUAAGUGUUCUACAAGUUAUUCUUUUUUUUUUUUUUGCUUGAGAAUCAUAGAAUUUUGGUCCUAGAAGAACUCAAAGAGAUGAUUCAGUUCAGUGAUUCUCAAAGUUCUAGAAAUCUUUUGUGGGCGUAGUGGGGCUGAAGAGAUCCUGCUCUGCCUCCAAAACACUGUGAGUUUUCUUUGUCUGUCAGGCUUGACUUGGAGAAAUGGUUCUGAGUCUCAACAUAAGCUUGAAAAAAGCACUGAAGCGGCCUUUUUAUUUUACAAAGGGGAGACCAAGGCCCAUGGACUCAGAAGUCAUUUAAGAAGGAAAUUUCGGGAUUGUUUCCCAUCCAUCUUUGCCUAUAUCCCUAUAACAUUUUCAGUGCUAUUCUUGAAUUAAUAUUCUUAUCAGUUGCCAGACAGAGGUUAUCUACCCUGAACAAGUCCAUUGGACACUAUUAGUAAGGGAAUAGUGUGCUGUACAUUACACUGUCUUAGAAAAGUUCCUAUCUCCCGUUUGCGUAUCUUUUAUGAAAACACUUCAAACUGCACCUGUUUAAACCUUUCCAUGGAGAUGUCUGAAAAGUAAACAGUUGGUUCUGGAGCAGUUAUAACAUAGCAUUGUUUAACAUGGCAGCUCAUUGAUGGUCAUCUUUAAUUAUGGCCUUGCUGUCAACCUCUGAAGUCUCUUUGUUGUAGAUCCGUUAUGACAUUGAGGUUUUCAAAGUUGCAGAGAUGAAAAACUCAACAGUCAAAUGUUGCUCAUUCCAGUAUGCUUAAGGAGCAAGGAAGGGACAUUGCCCAUGAGGGAUUCAGAGCCUGGGAGAGAACAUGGGUGCCCUCUCUGCUUUUGAUGACAACAUAGGAGCCCCAGUUUCCUCUCUGUUUACAAUGAAGCAGGGCCAAGGCUGGAGGGGACUGGAAUGAUUUAUUCAGUCAUGGUAAACAAGUGCGGAGUUUGGCUGCUGAGCUUUGCAGGCUGGUGGAAAAGCUGCUGUCUCUUGCCCCGAGAAGUUUGUACAUUAUACACGUGAAGCUCAAAGCAGACCCAACAAGGCUUUCUUGAACCUUCUAUUUCCUUUGCUUUCAGUCUGCCGGAGCUCUGUGUUCCUGGGCCCCCAUAUGCUGGUGCUAGUCAGGGCUGUAAUCAUGGGUCAGCCCCAUCUCAGACCAAAGGUAUCCAUUUAGGGGGUUGCUUCAGUCUGGCUCCUCUUAUCAUUAAGAUGUGUUGUCAGCAGCUCUUAUAAAGGGCUGUCCCAUUGCAGCUGUGGCUGCCAGAUCAGCCCCCGGCUCCUGCAACAAGCUUCUUUUGUUGGAGAGCCGUCUAUUCAGAAUCUGUUUAAAUUUAUAAGCCACCUCUGCCAGGUACCAUCCUGGCUGGAGGCUCACUUUACCAGAGCCCCUUAAGAGGCAGGGUGCCCUAGUGACUAAGGGCGUGGACUCUGGAGCCAGGCUGCCAGGCUCUGAAUCCUGGCUUUGCUGCUUACUAGUUCUGUGAUUUGGGCAAAUUACUUACCCUCUCUGGGUUCCAGUUUCCUCAUUGCAAAAUGAGGAUAAUAAUAGCAACUAUGUUGUGAAGUUGUGAAGACUAAAUGAGUUAAUAUGUAGGUAAAAUACUUAGAGCAGCAUGUGCUACAAAGCAGGCACUAUACCUGUGUAUUGAGUAUUUAUAUAUCACGUGGGCAUAUAUUCUAUGACAUAUACUACACAAUGUAUGAUAUAUAAUUUAUUUUGUGUAACAUCUUCACAUACCUGCAAAAGUAAAUUUUGUGGAUCCAGGUGGGGAGGGGUUAAUAAACAGACCAUUACUUGAUUUCUUUGUGGAGAGAUUCACCAAGUCCCCAGGGCAGAAUGAAUCCUGGCUCUUAUUGGUCCUUUUCUUAAGUGUCAACUUCUGGUGCCUUCCCUCUGCUCCGGAGCACAGGAGCUCACUCUAAUGCUCGUCCGUUGUGACCCUCCAUGCUGUGGGAGGCAAGUCCUGCUUCCAUGACUGGCACUUGCUGUCCUCUGAUAACCUCUGAGUCAGUCAGUGAGCACUGGGGUAGAGGGAGUCACCUGUGGUUGGUUUGGCAUUGUUCUGACUGCUGUGGGAUUUGCAGAAGUAGAAUAGGACCUUCAGAGAGGUUACAGUCUAAUUGGAUGAUCAAAACUAACUCAUGAAAUAUUUAAGAGCACAAUCCAUCUGGUUAAAGAGAUUAGUCCAUUUCCAAAGAAAAGACAAGUAGAAACCAAAAGGUUGAACUCGAGAGUAGGCAGAAAAUGCUUUCUACCUUUGGAGGUAGUUGAGGCCAGUGCUGAAGAUCAUGGUUUCACACCGACUGAGUUAUCACCUUGUUCCAGAAGGGAAGAUCCAAGUCCAUAGGAACAAAGAAAGUUCACAUUUAUCCAGUAAGUACCAUGAUCCGAGCACUCAGCUAAAUGCUUACCUAGUAUUGUCUGAUCUCCACAGCCACCCUAUAGAAAAGGUAUUAACCCAUUUUUUUUUUUUUAAAGCUAAGAAAACUAGGGCUCUGAGAUAGUAAGUAAUGCCUUAAACUAUCACAGCUAUUAAGUUUGCAGAGCUGGGAAAUUUUAACCCAGAGUCAGCUUGAUUCCAAACCUUGUGCUUUUUCUACUUCUGUCAGAAAGGGACACUAGCUACUGUUUUUCUUAGUUCAUUUUUGCAUGAAUUUAGCUGGAAAACAUUCACAUUUAAUCCCUUCCUUUCACCUGCCCCGAUGAAAGGAAGAUCUAACUAACAUUGGCCACCACAUUCUCCUCUGGGACCAGUCAAGAAGACAGUGAUGUUAUCAGCAGAAGCCUAAUUACUCUACCCAGGGAAAACAAGAAACCUCUGAAACAGUCAUAUCCAAGCCAAGCAAAGCUCUGGGAGAAAGCCCUGGGACGUUCAGCAAGAGCAGCCUAAAAGGCCUUUUGAACAAAAAUUGAACCCAAAUGAAAACACUGCAUGCUAGCCCUGGGCCGAUAAACAGUGUCUGAAUUGCAGUGUUAGGGCAAGAUGCUUGGUUUAGUAGCUGAGCCAGGCUCUCUGCUAUUAUAACAAAUUAACCCUGAAAUCUCAGUGGCUUUACACCACACAGUUUUAUUUCUGGCUUACCUAACAUGUCCAGUGACGGCUGGUGUUGGGAGAACUCUGCUUCACACAGUCACAUGGUGGUCCAGCCUGAUGAAGCUUUGACUGCAGUGACUGUGUGGCAUGUGCAGUGAUGAAGAUGAUCUGCCAUCUUGUUGCGGCACUGUCGGGAUCAUGAGGUCCCCAAAAUUGCAUGGGAGGUCUGCACUAUAACCGUUUGCCAUUGAAUUAGUUCUGACUCAUGGCAGCCCCAUGUGUGUCAGAGAACCAUGCCCCAUAGGGUUUCCACUGGCUUAUUUUUUGGAAAUGGAUCUCGAGGCUUUUCUUCCAAGGUACCUCUGGGUGGACUUGAACUGCCAGCCUUUCGGUUAGCAGCUGAACACGUUAACCAUUUGCACAACCUAGGAAUGGCUUAUAUCCCUUUCUUCCUGUUUUCCUAGAAUCCAAACAAACUGUAAGGGAGGUUGGGGAAUGUUAUCUUUCAACGUGCCCAGGAGGAAGACAGUGAAACAAGAUUUGGUGAACACAUAGCAGCGUGUCUUCACCACACUGGUACUGGAGAUACCAUGUAGGGGACAGAGGGUAGAGACUUGGAGUAGAGACCCACCCAUGCUUAGAGAUGAUUUCAAGAACUGUCAGGCAGUCUUCACAUGAUCACUGCAGCCAGAGCAGGACAGGAGUAGGUCAGCAUCAGGGAGGGAGGGCAGAAAGCUGGAGGACAUAGCUCUGAAUGCCUAAGGCAGGCAACCCAUAGUUGGCACCAGCCUCCAUAGAAAUAGAACAUUAGGGUCAAACAGAAAAGCAGGAACCCACUCCAGUAAAUUGGGUAUGAAGGGCAGAAGCCAAACAUGAAGCCAUGGGUGUUGGUGUCAGUGGGGCCACAUCUCCCCCUUGUUGGGAAGCUAUUCAGAUACUGCUUGAGUGCAAGUGAGUGUACCUAGCUCCACUCGUAGAGGGAGGUCAGAGUGGAGUCUUUUUCAUCUCUGUGUCUAAAAAAUAAAUUUUUGUUACGGAAGAGAUGUCAGUUCUACCUGACACUUCGUGCAGACAGCUGUAGACAGAAACAAUCACAGCAGUUUCAAACCCAAACUCCCUAUUUAUUGCUUAAAGAUUGUUAAGUGCCAUCGAAUUGGUUCCGACUCAUAGAGACCCUGUGUACAACAGAAUGAAACCCUGUCCAGUCCUGUUCCAUCCUCAGAAUUGUUGCUGUGUUUGAGCCCAUUAUUGCAGCCUCUCUGUCAGUCUGUCUCACUGAGGGUCUUCCCCUUUUUUUCUGACGCUUUACCUAGCAUAAUGUCUGUCCUAAUUUUGAAGGAGCACUCUGGCUGUAGUUCUUCUAAGACAGACCUGUUAGUUCUUCUAAGACAGACCUGUUAGUUCUUCUGGCAAUCCAUGGUAGACUCGAUAUUGUUUGCCAACACCAUAAUUAAAAGGCAUCAAUUCUUUGGUCUUCAUUAUUCAUUGUCCAACUUUCACAUGCAUAUUAGAUGAUUGAAAAUAUCAUGGCUUAGGUCAGGCGUACCUUAGUCUUCAGAGUGACGUCUUUGUUUUUCAACACUUCAAAGGGGUCUUUUGUUGCUGAUUUGCUACAGAAUGGUUAUGUUUGGGCCCAUUACUUAAAGAAGUAAGCCUUAAAUCCAUAAAGUGUGUUUGAAAUUCCCCCUGUCCCUGGCAGAGCAUGGUGAUCUCCCUCAUGCCUUUGCAGCUGGUGUUCUCUUUCCCCCCAAAGACCCAGUCUUCUUUUCCCCAUUAUGAGGCCGUGCUCAUCUCUGAAGACUCAGCUCUAAUAUAGUUGCUGUAAGGUAUUUUCUGACUCCUCAUCUCUUUAGCAUCCUCACUGUCCUUAGUACUUAAUUUAUAUGGUGCGGCAAUAUUGAAAUCAUUUCUUUAUUUGUCUGUUUGCUCCACUUGACUGGAUUUUGCAUUUUUCAUUCACCUUCUUGUCCCAAUGCCUGGCUCAUAAUAACCUCCAAUAAAUUUUUGUUAUGGAAGAACUGUCAAUUCUACCUGGUGCUUCAUGCAGACAGCUGCAGACAGAAGCAACUACUAGUAGAAGGGAUAUGAUGUUUCGAUUAUUGAUUAAUUAGUUGGCUAUUGAUUCAUUAUUCAACAUGAGAAAUAGAGAUGGGAGAAAUAAAUAAGGCAAAAGAUUAAAGUGAGUUGGAGUAUCCCUUUUGUGGAGAACAGCAGUAAUGUAACAGCAAACAUUUCUAUAUCGAUUUAACUUUUAUAAAGUGCUUUAACAUAAACAUUGUAUCAUUUGUUCUUAUUGUAACACUGUGAGGGAGAUGGAGAUAUUAUUACUGCUCUCAUUUAAAGUUGUGGAAAUUGAGGUUAAAUUCGUGGCUUAUCCAAAGCUCACGCAGUUGUCUGGAUAGUAAGUGUCAGUGCCAGGAGUCAUAGCUAAGCCCUUGUAGCUAUAAACCCUGUUAUUAUUUUUUUUCUGAUACCCCUUAUGGACUACUCUCUCAUGCAAACAAUUGAGCAAAGAUGAGAAGAGAGGACGAAAGGAGGGGAAAAGCAAAUCUAAAUAAGGGAACGUUGCUGAAUUUAAUUUACAUCAUUUAAUGUCCACAGAUAACUCUGUAAGGUAGAUAUUGCUGUCCCCAUUUUGCAGAGGGCAUAACAGAGGAUUGGAAGUUACAGUAACUUCCUAGUAAGUAAUAGAGAUUGGACUCAAACCCAGGGUCUCUCUGUCUCUGAAACUCGAUUGCUUUCCUUUAUUGUAUUGCUCGAGUCACCUGUUAGGCCCUGGGGUCACAAGGGAGAAGGUUCUGGCUGUGUCUUGGCUGACCCCACCUCUCUCAGCAUGGGAAUUUGUUGGGGAGGGGGGUCACAGCUACAGCUUUUUUGUCACCCUCUCUCGUGAAGCGCAUGAGACCCACACAUGGCGUUGGCAAGGUUUCAAAGGAGUCACUGAUGACCUGCUGAGGUAUUUUCAUUCUGUUCCUGAAAAUGAUUAAUCUUGAGGCUUUCUAAUGGCGCUUUCCACAAAGAGCCUUCCUUAAUCUAUAAUUUUCCUGCUUCCCUUCAAGGUAAUAGUUUACAUUUAAGAAAUAAAAAUAAGCAAAAUAAUCCUGCUGUGAGGAUGUGUGUACGUUAUCUGUGUGCGAUGCUGACGAAGAUCUAAAUCCGCCUGAAAUGGGUUGUAAAAAGGGUCUUGUUUAAAGCUCAGUUUCCUUGGUCACUCUGUUUCUAACUGUCCAUCUCUGAUUCUUUCUUGUUAUCUCUCUUCUCCCUCCUUAGCAGAGAGGGGAAACGUUACUGUUCUUUUUUCUUUCUCUAGGUGAUUUUUCAGCUGCUCCUCCCACUUUGAAUUUCAGUCACUUAUGGUCCCAAGAGGCUGCAAGGAAGCCAGUACUUGUAGGUAGAGGUCUGCCUGAUAUCAUGUGAUCCAGGAUGGACAGAGAGAAGAUGUUUUUCCUGGAGUUGCCAACUGAACACCCCCAAGCUCCUUUUUACUAGAGGCACUGGUUGCUGGUCCAGUUAGGGUCAGUGUAAUGCAAGGACACUUUUCAGAAGAGGACUAGGGUGAAACUCCCAGCAGAUGGAUCCUUGGUACGUGCUGAGGAGAGGAUUUGGCUGAGAGAUCCCUAGCUCUCACGUGUUGAGACCCUUUAGCCCGCACCCGCUUGCAUGUGUUUUCAUUUUAUGUUUUCCACCUGCCCCCAGAGCUGUGGCGUACCUGCUGUUGCUCUCAGGCCCCUUGCCAACAGUGGCAUCUGCUCAGUGUAGCCAUCAAGAAUUUGAAUGUCAAUAUCUUUGCCUUGAAAUGAAUGGAAAAGUAUUUGUCACUCAGCGGCAAUCAUUCUUCAAAUGAAAGGUUAGCCAGACAGGGCCCUUAAUCAAAGAGUCGGUCUUUUCUGUCAGCAGUGCCUUUUAAAUAGCAAUGAUGAAGGCUGGCUGUCAGGGUAGGACUUGAUGAGCGAGAUGAUUGAUCUGCAUAAAUCAUUUUCUUUUAACAUUGUCAGUGAAGAGUAAAUUGGUGGGACAUUUUGGGUAUUAGCUGUGUUGAAAUUAAUAUGCAGCAUCCUAGGUGUGUCCUCACUCACGUAGCCCUUUUAUAAGAAGGUAGAAAUUAAAAAGAGGCUUUUAGGCGUGCAUUGUUCUAACAAGAAAGUUGCACCAUUCUUACUGCUGCGGUCAUCAUCCUGCCUGCUAAAUUCGGAAGUUGAGUGUAUAGCACAUUUUACAAGCUCCGAAAGGAAUCUAGUUAAUUUGGGAAUUAGCUAGAGUCAGUAGCAUUUAACAACCAGUAAAUCUGUAAAGACUCACUGCUCAGAGGGAGAAAAUCCACGAAUGGUUUCUGGUUUAAAGGAUAGGGUAUCUACUACCCAGCAUGCUGCUCUAGAAAUAGCCACAGUGUUAGUCCAGGUUUUGGCUCAAAUCCAAGUGAGUCCAAAGUAAGUCUCCUUGACUGUGACCCUUAAUCUUUUUUAGUCUGUUUCUUUGUCUCUAAAAAUGAGAUUCCAUUCAUUACCUUUGGUAAGAUGUUUUUGGCAUUAAACGGUAAUGUAGGCAAAGGCACCAAGCACAGUACUGGACAUAUGUGAGCAGGUGCUCAGUAAAGGUAAACCUUCUCCCUUGUUUUUACUCAGGCAAAAUGCCUAAAACGCAGAACACCAACUAAGACAUCAAUAUCAAGGACAUGCCAUGUUGUAAAUAAGUAAACUGUCCAUCUUUGGUCCCUCCUGUGCUUGCCAGGAUAUGGCCAUUUCUAUAUCAAAAACGUGCUUCAAGGGGCAGAAGAAAUACCUGAUUGCUGAAUACUGGCCUUAGGGAGUGAGGUGGGAGAAACAAGGGAGAAAUGUGGCCAACGACACUUAGUUUUUUUUUUUUUUUUGUCCUUACAGUUUCUCUCUGGAUUAUAUGUCUGGGUUCAAAUUAUUCAAAUUAUUGAACAAGUAAAACCUGUGUGAUACAGAGUGGAAAUUCAAAGCAGGGCCAGUGAAGCCGAAUUGCGGAGUUCAGAUCCCAGGUCUUCCACUCACUUGCUCUGUGACUCUGGGCAAGAGAGUUAAUUGCCUCCCUGACCUGCAGUUUUGUUUCCUUUAAAAUGGGGAUAGUAAUGGUAUCUGUCUUACAGCCUUAGGGUGAUUAAGUAAUACAUAAAACUGUAAUAAAACACCAAGAGGAGUACCUAGGAAAUACAUGUUAACUAUCAUUACUAUAAUUGCUUGAUUGAUUGGUUGACUAACUGACAAGGUGGGUACUGGUGAAAUUCAUUUGGGCCAAAAGUGUCAAAGGAUAUAUUUAGAUGCGUUAGAUAUUUACAGGAGUCCAUGAUAAUGGUACUCUGGGGUGAAAUACUUGCUUUAUUCUGGAGAAACUUCCCUCAUAGAGGAAUUUGGAGCCAGGAUGAUCCUAAAACCGUCCGUAUUUUAGGUGGGCAGUAGCGCUGUUAGAGGGAAUGACCCACAGCCCUUCCCUGCUCACCCUCUCCUCACUCUAGGAAUAAAAUCUGAUCAAGAUGUCUUAUGGACAGAGCUAACAAAGGAGAGGUUUUUUUCUGUCUUAUUUUUUUAUUGAUUGCAUAUCUAAGUCACUGAAAACUAGAUUUUUAUGGGGUCUUAUAAAUAGUCUUCACUUGCUGUAUUGAAAGUAAAGGUUAAAAGAACAUUGCUUAUUCAGAUUCUUCAUAUGUCUCCUAUACCGGCAAAUCCACAUCAGUCUCUGCAUGUGGGCAUGUGGCAGGGGCAGGUAGGAGCCUGUGUGACACGUGUGUGCCAUGUUGUUGUUGUUAGUCACCACUGAGCCAAUUCUGACUGCUCUGUAGAGCUUUCUCUGUAGUAGCUCUCUCUGCUACUUUUAGUAGCAGAUCAACAGGCCUGUCUCCCAAGGUGCCUCUGGGUAGUUUUGAACUGCCAACCUUUUGGCUGGUAGUCAAGCACUUAACCAUUUUUGCCACCUAGAUAUUCCUCGGAAACCCUGGUGGCGUAGUGGUUAAAUGCUACGGCUGCUAACUGAAGGGUCGGCGGUUUGAAUCCGCCAGGCGCUCCUUGGAAACUCUAUGGGGCAGUUUUACUCUGCCCUGUAGGGUCGCUAUGAGUCAGAACCAACUCGAUGGCACUGGGUUUGGUUAGAUAUUCCUCACAUGUGCCAUAUACCAGUACAAAUGAGCAGAUAUUGCCUGAAGAGUACCUCUGUUCCUUGGAGAUUUACGUUCUUUCUGAGGCUCCUUUUUGGCAGAGGCGAUCAGUUGUAUUGGCCUUUGUGCCUUCCUCCUUUCCCAUCUUCUGACUUUAUCUCGUUUGAGCCUUUAAUCUCCUCCUGCAUAAUCAAUGAGAGAAGUUGCUACAAGACAUUUUCAGAGGCAUUCCUAGAAACACUGAUGAUUCUGUGGAACUCUUCAAAGGGAGGCAGCAAAGGUCUCCCCAUUCUCUGAUGAGCCAAGAAUAGAGAUUUGAUCGCUUUCCCAGUCUCAACUCUUUGAUGAUGCUGCCUUAAGUAGAGGCACUGUCAUUGUGUUGCUUCUAGAAAGAGACUGAAAUUGUGCUAUAUCUUCUUCAGCGGCAUGAUGGCUACAUUUGAGAAUUUCUAGAAAACAUUUUCUUCUGCUUUGGUUUGCAGUUCUGUGGGCUGCAGAAGUGGUGAAAAUUGUCAUGUUAGGCUCCUUCCUGAUUCUGUCUUUAUUAGCAAAUCAUAGCCCAUGUUAUCUAAGUAACUACUUAAUGGUGUCCAGCCAUUCUGGGUGUGAUAAUCUGCUCAAGAUUAAUUUCAUGUAAUGAAGAUCUGAAACAAGGUGUUUAAGAGCCCCUCUAAUGUUUCAUUUAUGGCAAUUUAUCAAAACGGUAGAUAUUUAGCCUUUUUUUAUUGGGUAUGAAACAUUAACUUAAAACCAGUGCUGCUUUCUAUUUUAAAUACCAAUAUCCAUUACAUGUUUCUCACUGUAAGCAUCUUUGACCUCUGCCCUGCAUUUCAUCAAGCAUCAUGAAAAAUCAGCCACUAGCUCCCAGAGGACACCAUGUCAUGGACUUAGCCUCAGAUUAUGAUCUCCUGGCGCCUUGGGCAACUGACCCACCCUGGCCCUGACUCUGAUUGGGUCUUUGUAGAUAGUGAACAGCAUCCAUGAACAAAUAUCUAUUGGGUGAUAUAGUGCUGGAAAAUGAGCCCCUCAGGUUGGAAGGACUCAACAUUUGGGACAUUAGAUGCCACAAAGUGGACUUAACUUCAAUGAGUAUAAAAUGCUGGAAAACAGAUUUCCUAGCCCAAGGGGCAGCCUCAUUACUCCCAAGUUGGUAAUUACCUUUUUUCAGUUGUGAGCUAAUGAGCCUAGGAAAUCUGGGCUACUUAUCAUAUCAUCUUUCCAUUUUGGACAGUAUGAAAAAUGCAGAUUUUCAUCAAUUCCAAUGACUAGGAUGAGUCCAUUGCUUAGCCUCCAGUGGCUCCCUAUUGUCUAGGAGUUUGGCACUCAGGCCCUACAAUAAAUGUGAUACCCAUUUAGGAUUUGUUGAUGAAUUGAUAGAUGAAAGAAUAAACAAUUUCCACUUUUCUUUUUCAGUAUUGUUAUCCGCAUAACCCUAAUAUGUGCUGUGGUGACUUGUGUGUUGCUGUGAUGCUAGAAACUAUGCCAUCGACAUUUCAAAUACCAGCAGGCUCACACAUGGUGAACAGGUUUCAGUGGAGCCUUCAGACUAAGACAGACUAGGAAGAAGGACCUGGUGAUCUACUUCUUAAAAAACUGGCCAUUCGAAACCUUAUAAAUAGCAGCAGAACAUUGUCUGAUAUAGUGCCAGAAAAUGAGCCCCUCAGGUUGCAAGGACUCAACAGACGAUUGAGGAAGAGCUGCCUCCUCAAAGUAGAGUCAACCUUAAUGAUGUGAAUGGAAUAAAGCUUUUAGAAUCUACAUUUGCUGAUGUGGCAUGGCCCAAAAUCAGAAGAAACAGCUGCAAAUAUUAAUUAUUGGAACGUGGAAUGUACAAAGUAUGAAUCUAGGAAAAUUGGAAGCUGUCAGAAAUGAAAUGGAACACUUGAAGAGAGAUAUCUUAGUCAUUAGUGAGCUGAAAUGGACUAGUAUUGGCCGUUGUGAAUAUGACAAUUAUAUGGCCACUAUGCUGAGAAUAACAAAUGAAGAGGAAUAACAUUGUAUUCAUCAUCAAAAAAAAAACAUUUCAAGGUCUGUCCUGAAGUACAGUGCUGUCAGUGAUAGGAUAAUACUCAUAUGCUUACGAGGAAGACCAGUUAAUAUGAUGAUUAUUCAAACUUACGUACCAACCCCUAAUGCCACAGAUGAAGGAAUUUAAGAUUUUUACCAAUUGCUGCAGUCUGAAAUUGAUCAAACAUGGAAUCAGGAUGCAUUGAUAAUUACUGGUAAUUGGAAUUUGAAAGUUGGAAACAAAUUGGAAAACAUGGCCUUGGUGAUAGAAAUGACACUGGAGAUCUCGUGGUAGAAUUUUGUAAGCCCAACGACCUAGUCAUUGGAAAUAUAAUUUUUCAACAACAUAAAUGGUGAUUAUAUACCUGGACCUUGCCGGAUGGAAUACAGAGAAAUCAAGGUGACUAUAGCUGUGGAAGCAGACAGUAGAGAAGCUCAAUAUGAUCAGUCAGAACAAGGACAGGGCCUGACUAUGAAAAAGACCAUCAAUUGUUCCUAUGAAAGUUCAGGCUGAAGCUGAAGAAAAUGAAAACAAGUCCACAAGAGCCAAAGUAUGGCCCUGAGUAUAGCCCACCUGCAUUUAGAGUACAUAUGAAGAAUAGAUUUGACACAUUGAACACUAAUGAGUGAAGACCAGACUGUUGUGAGAUGACAUCAAGGACAUCAUACUUGAACAAAACAAAACAAAAACAAGAGGUUAUUAAAAAGAUAGGAAAGAAAGAAAAGACCAAAAUGGAUGUCAGAAGAGAUUCUGAAAAUUGCUUUUGAAUGUAGAGUAGCUAAAGUGAAACGAAGAAAUGAUGAAGUAAAAGAGCUGAACAAGAUAUUUCAAAGAGCGGCUCAGGAAGACAAAGUAAAGAAUUAAAAUGAAACCUUCAAAAACCUGGAGUUAGAAAACCAAAAGGGAAGGAUAUGCUUGGCAUUUGUCAAGCCGAAAGAGCUGAAGAAAAAUUUAAGCCUCAAGUUGCAGUAUUGAAGAUUUUAUGGGUAAAAUAUUAAUCAGUGCAGGAAACAUCAAAAGAAGAUGGAAAGAAUACACAGAGUCAGUGUUCCAAAAAUAAUUGGUCAAUAGUCAACCAUUUUAGGAGGUAGCAUGUGAUCGAGAACUGAUGGUGUUGAGGGAAGAAGGCUAAGCUGCACUGAAGGUAUUGGGAAAAGCAAGGCUCCAGGAAUUGAUGGAAUACCAAUUGAGACAUUUCAACAAAUGGAUGCAACUCUGGAAGGGCUCACUUGUCUAUGCCAAGAAAUUUGGAAGGCAACUACCUGGCCAGCAGGCUGGAAGAGACCCAUAUUCCCAUUCCAAAGAAAGGUGAUCCAACAAAAUACAGAAAUUAUCAAACAAUGUCAUUAAUGUCACACACAAGAAAAAUUUUGCUGAAGAUAAUUAAAAAAACAUUUGCCCCAGUACAUUGACAGGCAACUGCCAGAAAUUCAAGCCAGAUUCAGAAGAGGACGUGGAAUGAGGGAUAUCAUUAUUGAUAAUCAGAUGGCUCUUGGUUGAAAGCAGAGAAUACCAGAAAGAUGAAGAAAGAUGUUUACGUAUGCUUUAUUGACUAUGCAAAGGCAUUGGACUGUGUGGAUCAUAACAAAUUAGGGAUGACAUUGCAAAGAAUGGGAUUUCCAGAGCACUUAAUUGUGCUCAUGCAGAACCUAUACACAGACCAAGAGGCAGUCAUUCAGACAGAACAAGGGAUCUGUGUGGUUUAAAGUUAGGAAAGGUGUGCAUCAGGAUGGUGUCCUUUCACCAUACUUAUUUAAUCUGUAUGCUGAACAAAUAACCCGAUCCAAGAAGCUGGAGUAUUUGAAGAAGAACAUCAUCAGGCUUGGAGGAAGACUGAUUAACAACCUGCACUAUGCAGAUGAUACAAACUUAAAGGGGGCUUGAAGUACUUCUUGAUGAAUGUCAAAGACUACAGCCUUUGGUAUGGAUUACAUCUCAACAUAAAGAAAACAAAACUCAUGACUGGACCAAUAACAGCAUGAUGAUAAAUGGAGAAAAUAUUGAAGUUGUUAAGGAUUUCAUUUUACUUGGAUCCACAGUCAAUGCCCAUGGAAGCAGUAGUCAAGAAAUCGAACAAUGUGUUGCAUUGGGCAAAUCUGCUGCAAAAGAUUCCUUUGAAAUGUUAAUAAGCAAAGACAUCACUUUGAGAACUAAGGUGUGCCUUACCGAAGGCAUGGUAUUUUUAAUUGCCUCAUAUGCUUGCAAAAGCUGGACGAUAUAAUAAGACUGAAGAAGAAUUGAUGCCUUUGAAGUAUGAUGUUGGCAGAGAAUAUCGAAUAUACUGUGGACUGCCGGAAGAACGAACAAACCUGUCUUGGAAGAAAAUACAGCCAGAAUGUUCCUUAGAAGUGAGGGUGGAGAGACUUCGUUUCACAUAUUUUGGACGUGUUUUCAGGAGGGACCAGUCCCUGGAGAAGGACAUCAUGCUUGGUAAAGUAGAGGGUCAGUGAAAAAGAAGGCCGCUCUCAAUUGACACAGGGACUGCAAUGGUGGGCUUAAGCAUAACGACGAUUGUGAGGAUUGGGCAGUGUUUUGUUCUGUUGUUCAUAAGGUCACUAUGAAUCCAAGUCGACUCAAUGGCACCUAAUAACAACCACCGUCACCCACAACUGCCUCGUGUUAUUUUUUUUUCUCAUCCUCAAGUUUGGUAAUAUAUUUGUGUGUUACUCAUUGUUUUUUGUUUUCCCAUGUGGAAUACAUUCUUUAUAAUUUUUUCUGACCCAGAUGGUACCUAUCUUUCAUGGUCUGGCUGAACACUAAUAUCUUCUUGACCCAUAUGCUUUGCAGUAUUUUUCCAUUCUUAAUCACUAUCCAUUAGAGAAACACAAUUCAAAACUGCAGUGAGAUACCCUGACAUUACUGGCACUAAAAAAACAAAAAACAAAAACAAAAAUGGAAAAUAACAAAUGUUAGAGAGGUUGCAGGGAGAUUGGAACUCUUGUGCACUGCUGGUGGAAAUGCAAAAUGGUACAACCAUUUUGGAAAAUGAUAUGGCACUCCCUUAAAAAGCUAGAAAUAGAAAUACCGUAUAAUCUAGCAAUCCCACCCUUGGGAAUAUAUCCUAGAGAAAUAACAGCUGUCACAUGAAUAGACGUAUGUACACCCAUCCCAUGUUCAUUGUAACAUUAUUCACAAUAGCAAAAAGGUGGAAGCAGCCUAAGUGCGCAUCAACAGAUUAAUGUAUAAACAGACUAUGGUAUAUAUGCACAAUGGAAAAGGUUUACACACAGAAACAAUCUUUGAUGGUUAUAAGGGAGGGGAUUGGUAGGGAGGGAAAAACACUAACUAGAGAGUAAAUAAGUGGUAACUUUGGUGAAGGGUAAGACAGUAUGCAAUACUGAGAAGGCCAGCACAACUUGACCAAGGCAAAAUCACAGACCUUCACGGAAACAUCCUAACUCCCUGAGGGACUGAGUUACUGGGCUGAGGGUUGGGGACUGUGGUCAGUGAGAACAUCUAGCUCAAUUGGCAUAACAUAGGUUAUGAAAAUAAAAUGUUCUGCAUCUGACUGUGGCGAGUAACAUCUGGGAUCUUAAAAGCCUGUGAGCAGCCAUGUAAUAUAUGUCUACUGGUUACAUCCCGGCUGGAGCAAAGGAGAAUGAAGAAAACCAAAGACUCAAGGGAAAAAUUAGUCCAAAGGACUAAUGGACCACAACUACCACAGUCUCCACCAUACUGAGCCCAGAACAACUAGAUGCUGCUGGCUAAAACCACUGACUGCUCUGACAGGGAUUACAAUAGAGAAUAUUGGACAGAAUGGGAGAAAAAUAUACAACAGAAUUCAAAUUCACACACACAUACACGGAAAGACCAGACUUGCUGGUUUGUCUGACAGACUGGAGAAACUCCAAGAGUAUAGCCCCCAGGCACCCUUUUAAUUUAGUACUGAAGUCACUCUCCAGAUUCACCCGUCAGCCAAAGAUUAGAGAAACCUGUAGGGCAAACAGUAACACACAUGAGAAUUGUUCUUUGUAGUUCAGUUAUGUUUAUGGGACUAAAUGGGCCUAUCAGCCCAAAAGCAAACACGAGAAGGCAGGAAGGGGCAGGAAAACUGGACGAAUGGAAACGGGGAACCCAGCGUGGAGAAGGGGAGAAUGUUGACACAUCAUGGGGUUGGCAGCUGAUGUCACAAAACAAUUUGUGUAUUAAUUGUUUAAUGUGAAACUAAUUUGCUCUGUAAACUUUCACCUAAAGCACAACUAAAAAAAAAAGUUUUCCAUUCUUCUCUAAAUUCAUAACCAUUAAAGUUUGAAUAUACAUCCAAUGCUUGAACAUAAAAUUUCUCUAGGUAGUUUCAUCUACAUAUAACUGGUUUUUCUUUUAGAUUACAAUAUCUUCAAGAGCAGGGAUUUAUGCUGUGUAUAUCUCUUUUACAACACACACCCUUUUCUUGGGCACAGAGAAUAUACAGAGUCCAGUGCCUUGACAUGGUCUACAAAAGAUGAAUCUUAAAUUGGACUUGUCAGUUACGUUGUAUAAAAAAGGCACCAGAAUCACACAGUGAUUGAUUUUGCAAUAUGUAAAUCUCAAUGUAAUUUUUGUGCUCACCUGGGGAAUGUGACCAUGCAGACCCCAUCAGAUUUGUCUGUGCUAUCUCUGAGGACCAUCUUACUCACCAGGUUGCUGUCUGCAGCUCCCUGUGAUGGUACCUUUCGAUCCAGAGACUUGAGUAGCUCCCCUGUUUUCUUGCUCCAUUUUAUGCUUGAUGGUUCAGUGUUUCGUUUUCUGCUUCUCUGUUACACUACCUUGUGUGCCCUUAGUUGGGACACCUUAAUUGGGGAGCUCCUGCUGUUUGAGUCAGGAGAUGGAGUCCUACUGCCUUCCCUCUCCUGUGGGCAGGUGCAUGGGAGCUCUUGGGCUAGAGACAUCAGCCUGGCAGUACAUGCAGUGCUUUCUCCAUUACCUCUUCGCACUCACCUAAGUCUUAUCUCAGAAGGCCUUGGAGUCUUGUUUGGCUAGAAAUCUUUUUGGUGGUUGGUGUUCUUGUUUGGAUUCCAGUCCAUCCCUUUUCAUUUUCAGGACAUGCUUACAUAGUUGAUUUGUGUGCCAGGCCUUUGAUUUCUUUUCGUCUCCUUCCCCACCCCACCCCCUGUAAUGCGUGGAUAUUGUUGUUGUCAGAAUUGGAAGCCAGAAACAUUUAAGGGCCCACUGACUUGACUCUUUUUUUAAAAAUUUUAUCUUUUUUUAAAUUUGCAAGUAAUACUGGAAUAGAACACUUUUAUUAUAAAAGACACAGGUAAUAGAGAUGUGAACCAAAGUGUAAAGGUCUCUGUAUUAACUAGCAUAUAAUAACGCAAAAUAAAACCCAGUGCAUAUACUAGAAAACCAAAAUAAUAGGAGUUAAUAUAGUUUUCUUUCACAUAAAAGAAGCUCAAGGUAGGUGGGCCAAAGCUCUUAUAUUAGCUUCAUGAGGCCAGCAGAGACUAGGUCUUCUCCUAUUUUUCUGCACCUUCUGUCUUCCUGCACCACCAUCCUUAGCACAUGGUUUUCAUUUAUUAAGUCACUUCCUGGUUCAAGAUAGCUGCUGGAGCUCCAGUCAUAUCAUCCAAGUUCCAGGCAGGAAGGAGGGGGAAGGGAAGAGGGAAAGCUAAAGCACAGGAUUAUUGUUGGUCUCACUUUUAAGGAGCUUUCCUAGAAAUCCUACUGAGCAAGUUUAUUUACAUCUUAUUGCUCCCCCUUAACCAGGGGUGUACUGGAGCCACUCAUUCCAGGUUGUGAGAGCCAAGUGUUACCUGUUCAGGAAUUUUUGUGAGCCAGGUGACAUUACUUUGGAAACUUGAAAUUAGCCAUAGUGGGAGAAUUUACACCAUGUAAAUCGGCAAGCAUUCAAGCAUUAGAAAUCAGAGUUCUGUCCCCUUACCCUCUACUUCAGAGAGCUAGUUGUUUUACAUUUACCAGCACAUAACACUAACCUAGCUGCAGGGAAGUCUUUUAGCUGGUUGCAUUGACACCCAGAAUAAAAUCAGGGUUCUCUUACUAAAAAAAAAGUGAAAAUGGAUAAUAGGAAAGCAAGGCCAGGUUUCCCCCACUUGGUAUUUCAUAGAAUGGGUGUAUUUCCCCCAUUUAGCUUGCUUACUCUUUAUUCCAAAUUAUCCAGCAGCACACACGGUUUUUACAGUACAUUUCUGCACGUGAGCUAGUGUUUGUGGAGGAUUGAUCCUUCAAGGUAGACUUCCUAGAUUGAAGGGUAUGCCCACUGCAUGACUUUGUACAAAGAGCACUCAGCAGAUGGAUGUCUGUUUCCUCCUAAUGUAGCAGAGUGAUGAUAAACAUGGAUUUUAGAACCAGGCACACUGGGUAUGAAUACUUGUUCUCACACAUCCUAGCUGUGUGACUUUGGCCAAGUUGCCUAACCUUUCUAAGCCUCCAUUUCUUUUUCUGUAAAAUGGGCAUGAUGCUGUCUGCAUCUGUAGGAGUUCUUUGACGAUGAAAUGAAAUUGUGAAUUUGAAGUGCUUACAGAAGUGCCUGGCAUGCGUAAACACAUAGUAAAUAGCAACCAGGGCUUCUGCCUAUUGAGAGGUGUGCUCAUAGAGAGGUACAGUCUCUACAGGGAGAAGAAUAAAAACAUGAAACAGAGCCUUGAAUGUUAAGUAUAGGGUCCAUGUGAGUUAGCGAGGUGAGCGUCAGAUAGAAAAACAGUGGAUGUUUAAUGUACGGACUUGAAAAUUAUUCCACUGACCCCAGAGGCAGGUGUACAGGCUAAUUUAUAGUUAUAAAAACCUCAGAAUAAGUCAAGCAUGUCUCCAGUUCCUAAGUGCGUAUUAUAAAUAUAUUUAAAAUCAUUUUUACAGCUACUGCGUUACAUUUCUUUAGCACAUUAGAAGCUUGAGUUGUGGAACUGGACCAAAAAUCAACAUAAAUAUUCUUUUUCUCACCCAACUAUAUUAAACAUUGCACAGAUGUGUAGUUAAGUAUUUAUUAUGAACAUGCAAAUAUUGAUGUCCCCAAGGCCCAUGCUUUGAUUUUCAAACUGCUGUUGCUGUAUUUGGCAUUGUUGAUUAACACAGGUCUUUGCUCUGACACAUAGCAUGCCUGACUUCAGGGCUACUGAGAAUCGCAUCAAGAAGAAAGGAAGAAGCCAAGGCUUGAUAUUCAUAGAGGUGGACAGUAUUUGAGGAUGGGAGCUCCUUUAGGAAAAUGGCAGCAGGCAGCCAAAUAUAUAAGUUGGUUAAAGAUGUGCCUAGCACAGAGCUGUGCACAUGGUAGGGUCUCAGUAAAUCUUUUCUCAUUUAGCUAAAGAGUCAGAAGCUAGGGAGAACAAACAACCGUAAUGAAAAAGUUAUUUUCACACUGGUCUAGCACAAGAUUUCACAAUCUUGGCACUAUUAAUAUUUUGGGCUAGAGAAUUCGUUGUCAUGGAGGGCUGUCCUAGGCAUUGUAGGAUGUUUAGCAGCAUCCCUCUUUACCCACUAAAUGCCAGUAACACCCCCUCCCCCAUUCGUGACCACCAAAGAUGGAUCCAGGCAUUGCUAAAUGUCCCCUGGGGGGCAGAAUCACCCCAGUGGAGAAGCACAGGUCUAGAAGAAAGUGAAUAUGUAUGUAAACAACAAGUAUGUGCCAGACAUAUUUAACUCAUUUAAUCCUCACAACAAUCCUAUAUUGUAGGUGUUGCUGAAAUCACUUUUGCAGGAAGGAGAAGUGGGAUUCAAAGAGGUGAAGAACAUGGAGUAAGGUUAGACAGAUGGAGUCUGAUUUCAAAUGUGACAUUCUUGGCGGCCGGGGUGGGGGGGCGGACAGGAAAGCUGGUAAUAGGGAACCCAAGGUCAAGAAGGGAGAGUGUAGAGAAAAACAAAACAAACAUGACGUUCUUUCCCUCAUACUCUUCUCCCUUUCACAGAAUCUGACUUAAACAUCAAGUACCAUAAGGACUCAUGGUGUUGCCUGUCUUAGUACUGAACACUCAGACUUGACUUUCUUAUGAAAAUGCUGCCAAGUGCACUGUUUGCAGAGACUCGUGGACAGCUUACGUUUUGGUCAUUGAUUAGAUUUGGUUUAUGUUUUGCAGAGAACAUCAACGGCAAGAAUGUCGACGGGGCUAACUCUCUGUAGAGGGCCGUUGAGAAACAAAGGAAUGUGUAGUCUAAGGGUGUCCAGAGAGACCUCAGAGUAGGCCUAAGGGGACUUGCUUUCAGAAAGGAACAGUUGAAGAGCUGUGAUAUCUUCUGUAGAGAAAGGGCCUUUGCUACAAUGGUUCUCGUGGAUACUUAGUAAACUAAAGAGAUUUUUUUCUGGGGAGCUUUCAGGCCAGUUGUUUGCCAAUCUGAUUCUCUUGUAGUUAAUUUAGCAGGUGUCAAACCCUGGUUCCAGCGGAAGGGACUACAUCUCAAGCAAGAGGUGCUGAUUCUGUGAGGAGCUUCGUGGGUGGGGGCAGGGACUCCUGCUUUCUGCCAUGCCCUAAACACUGGCCCUUAGAGGAGAAUUUUGGGGUGUGUUACUAUGUAAUUGUUAGAAAUACAUAGUAAUACAAUUAUUACCUCCAGUAGCCACAUGCUGCAGUGCUCUAGACUGCUUUCUUAACAGAGUCAGAGCAGGACUGGGGGAGGGGCCCGGAAACUAAGGGAUACAAGUAUUGUUAAUUUUCUUCCCCCUCCUCCUUUUAUAUCAUCAGAGAAUAUAAACCAAUAAAAGAACUAAAUGUUGGCAAUCUAUAAAAUUCCAUAAGUGGUAAUAAAGAAAAACUGAAACUAUAUUGAUAUACAACCAAACAAGGUAAUUAUCAUUAUUUUUUAAUAAAACCAUUUAUCAUCAAUAAAUACCAAGGGGAACAGGAAAAAUUACAAGUAGAACAAUGCCAUCUUCAUAAUUAUAGCUAUUAACAAUUUAAAGCAUAAUUAUGUGAGGCAGAAAAACUUUUAGGAAAGGUUUGUGCAGGCUUCUGCACAGAAAAGUCAAAUCUUCACAUUUCCAAAUAUUCAGGGUCCUUUAAAUGUUCCUGAAUAAGUGGGUGACUGCUUGUCAGAACUAAGAGUAGCUCGUUUUCUAGUGAUCUUUAGUUCGGACACUUCCUGCGUCUCCACUUUCAAAUUGGCUGGCAGCCCUGGAGGAAGGGCUGGGAUCCAGAAAAUGGUAUAUAUGCAAAAUAUCUGUCCACUUUCUAAAUAUCACUAGUCAAGAGAACGUCACUAGCAGAAAGGCUGGUUUUGAGAACCCAGGGUCUCAUUGAUUUCGUCUGAACAAACCCUGAUUAAGCAGCGGCUCUUGCCUAAUUAUUGUAUGUUCUAGGCCCUGGGGAUACAGAAAGCAAUGAGUUGGGUUUUUGUUUGUUUGUUUUAUUUGUGAUUGAGCACCUUGCACUCUCAAAGGGAGACAGACCUGAGUGUUCUCUGUAUUGAGGGGCAGAACAGCAGGGUGGUGAAGAGUAUGCCUCAGAGCCUACCAGCCAUCCUGGGUUCAAAUCCCACUUUUGCCACUAACCAGCUGUGCGAGGUUGCACAAAUUAAUUAACACCUCUAUGCCUCAGUCUCCAUAUUUGUGAAAGAGGUGCUAUUAGUAUCUGCCUGGUGGCUUAGUAGUUAAGCACUUGGCUGCUAAGCAAAAGAUCGGCAGUUCAAAUCCACCGGGCUGCUCCUUGGAAACCCUACGGGGUGGUUCUUCUCCAUCCUCUAGGAUCACUAUGAGUUGGAAUUGACUCAAUGGCAAUGGUUUUGGUUUUUUAGGUUGUUGUGUGUAUUAAGUGCUUAGAGAAGUACCUGGUACCUGGUGAAUACUGUCUAAGUUAGCCCGCCGUUUAGCUUGAUGGGGUAAGUACUGCCAUAACGUCUGGAUCUGGUGCAAUAGCAAUACAGUUCUUUCUGACUGGUGGUCACAGAAGACUCUGGGGACAAGAUAAUGACUGUGCUGAAUCUUAAGGGUGAACAUAAGGGGAGAGGGUAUUCUACACUGUGGAAACUGCAUGAACAAAAGUGUGGAAUCCAGAACAAGUAUAGGGUGCCUUGGUCAUUAUAAGCUGUAUUCUAUCUUAUUAGAGCAUGGCGAGGUUGAAAUGGUGGUAGAGAGUGAUGAGGCCUCAGAGAUUGGAAAGGUUAGGUCAUAGAGUCUUGAGGGCAGGUGGCUGCUGAAGGCUAUUAAAUGUGAAGGUGAUGUUAAGUCAGGUUUGCAGCCUAACACCAUUUUCAGGCAGCCAGCAAUGAGGGGCCUUGGUAGCACAGUGGUUAAGCGUUCACAUGCCAACCAAAAGGUCAGCUGUUCGAAUCCACCAACUGCUCCUUGGAAACCCUGUGGGAGCAGUUCUACUCUGUCCUAUAGGGUCACUAUGAAUCGAAAUCGACUUGACAGUACGGCCCCGUAUGGUCACUGAGUCGGAAUCGACUUGAUGGCAGUGGGUUUGGUUUUGAUGUGUACAUUGCAGGUAAACGCGUGGACUGAUUGAUUCUCAGUUUAGUUGUUGUAGUCAUUAGUGCCGUUUGGAAGAUUUUGCAGUUCUUCCCCGCGCCCAGGCAUGUGGAUGCACAAAUGGAACCCUGGAGCAGAUGGGCCGUAUGGGUAGUUCUGGCCCAGGGCUUGUAAGGAAAAGUAGUGUUACUUCGGAGCCAGAUCACGUAAUUUCUGGUGCAGGAUCCUUCAGAGCUUGCUGUUUUCUCUUUGUUUCAGUGAGCGACAGCAUUCCAGAGACAGUUUGCCCCAUCAGCCAGUUCCCACAAGGAGGAUGACAUGGAGCAGAAUUUCCACCUGAGUCUUGACUAACAGGGAGCCUAAAUGAGAAAUAAACCUCUAUUACUAUAAGCCAGAGAGAUUAGCAAACUUCUUCUGGACAGGAGGAGAUAGAAAAAAGUUCAGGCUUUUAGUUUGUGAGCUGUAUGGUCUGUGUCGCACCUAUUCAACUCUGCCCUUGCAGUGUGAAAGCAGCCAUAGACAACAUGUAAACGUUGGGUGUGGCUAUGUUCUUGUAGAGCCUUAUUAACAGAAAGAGGCAGCAGGCUGAAUUUGGCUGACAGGCUGUAGAUUGCCGACUCCUGCCUGAGACGCUAAGGCUUGGGGCUUGUUUAUUAUCACAGCAUAAUGUAGUUUGUUCCGACUGAUACUCUGCUCUGCCUUUUUUUUUUUUUUUUAAUUGGGGGAAAAUUUACAUGGCAUGAAAUGCAGAGACCUUAUGUGUGCUAGCCAGUGCGUUUUCAUCAAUGUAUACCGUGUGUAACCACUGCCCCAAUCAAGAUGUAGAACAUUUUCAUCAUUUCAGAAACUUCUUUUGUUCCUUUACAGUAAUUUCCACUUUCUGCCGGCAACCCCUCUUCCAUUCUUGGAGUUUGUAUAAACAGAAUCGUAUAAUACGUACUCCUUUGUGUCUAUUUUGUUUUAUUCCACACAGUAUAGUGUUAUCAGAAGUCUGUUCCAUUGUAUGAAUAUCCAACAAUUGUUUAUCCAUUUUCUGGUUGUUGGAAGUUUGGGAAUUUGGUAGUUUUUGCCUGUUAUGAGUAAAACUACAAUGAGCAUUCAUGUGAAACUCUUUGUGUCUAUCUGGAUUUUUAUUGCUUUUGGAUAACUACCCGUAUUUUUAUGUAAAUAACACACACCUUCUACAUUUGUUUGCCAGCUGUGUCCUUCUCCUGCAAGGUAUUUUCAUAAGCAUGCUAUGCUAUUUUUUUUUUUUUACAACAACAUGUGAAAAAAAAUCAGCAUAGUGGUUCUUAUGAAAAUAGCUGGUGAAGGGAGGGCGGGUUGGCAAACAAAAGUAGAAGAUGCAUGUUACUUGCAAAAAAUACUGUACCUAGGGUUGGAAUCACUGAGCCGUGGGGUGGGUAUAGGUUUAAAUUUAUGGAAGCUGCCAAACAGCUUUCUAGUGUGAUGAUACUGUUUACACUCUUAGUGGCAAUUUUUGAGAAUUCCAGUUACUCAACAUUCUAUCCAAUAUUUUGUGUUCUCAGUCUUGUAAAUUUUAUUUAUUCUAGUAGGUGUGAGAGUCCAUGGCUUGUGCAGUUAAGCGCUUGACUAUUAGCCAAAAAUUUGGCAUUUUGAACCCACCCAGAGGCACCUUGAAAGACAGGCUCAGCGAUCUGCUUCCUAAAAGUCAGUCUUGAAAACCCUACGAAGCAGUUCUGCUGUGCAUAUAUGGGGCCACCAUGAGUCAGAGUGGAUUUGAUGGCAACCAACAGCAAUGGUAGGUGUGAAGUGGUAUUUCAUUUGGUUUUAAUAUGCAUUUUCCUGAUGGUUAAUGAUGCUGAACAUAUUUUAAUGAGUUUACUGGCUAGUUGUAUAUCUUCUUUUGUGAAAGGUCUGUUCAAGUAUUUUGCCCACCUAAAAAAAUUGAGUAAUUUGUCUCUUUGCUGUUAAUUUGUGGGCAUAUUUUAUAUACUCUGGUUACAAGUUCUUUGUCAGAUAGCUAUAUAUCCACACCUGUAUCUGUCUAAAAUAUUUCUUCCAGUCUUUAGGUUGCAGUUUCACUUCAUUAAGGGUGCUUUUUGAUGAGCGAAAGUUUUUAUUUUGAUAAAUACAAAUUUAUGCAUUUUUUUUUUCUUUUUUGAUUGGUGCUUUUUGUGUUCUGUUUGAGAAAUCUUUGUUGUCUUCAAGAUUUUGAAGAUAUCUUUCUGUGUUUUCUUUUAGAAGCUUUAGAGUUUUGACUUUUAUGUUGAGGUUUUUGAUCCAUCUUGAAUUAAUUUUCAUGUACGUAGGUUAAGAAUUGAAAUACAUUGUUUUCAUGUAUUUAUCUGGUUGUUCCAGCACCAUUUGUUCUUUUCAACUAUACUUUUGCCAUUUAACCACCUUAGAACCUUUGUCAAAAGUCACUUGGCCAUUAAUAUAUAGGUCUAUUUCUAGAUUAUCUGUUCUUUUUUAUUGAUCUGUUUUUCUGUUCUUAUGCUAAUACCAUACUGUGUUAACUACUGUAGAUUUACAGUAAAUCUUGAAACCAGUGAGUGUGAGUCCUCCAAAUUUGUACUUCUUUUUCAAGAGUCUUUGGUCUCUUCUAGAGCCCUUGUUUUUUCAUAUAAAUUUCAGAAUCAAUUUUUCAAUUAAAAAAAUAGCCUGUGGAGUGUUGAUUGGCAUUGCAUUGAAUCUAUAGAUCAAUUUGGGGGGAAUUGACAUCUUAGCAAUAUUGUCUCACAGUCUAUCAGAAGGAGGCUCUGGGUGGUGCAAAUGGUGAAGUGCUUAACUAUUAGCUGAAAGGUUGGUGUUUCAAAGCCAUCCAGAGGUGCCUUAGAAAGUACGACUGGUGAUCUGCUUCUGGAAGGCCGUAACCUCGGAAACCCUGUGGGGUCGCCAUUGACUCAAUGGCACAUAUCUAUUUUUCUCUUUUUUCUAUUAAUAUGGUGAACAAAAUUGAUUGAUUUUCAAAUGUUAAACUCACCUUGCAUUCCUGGGAUAAGCAUCACUUGAUCAUGGUGUAUUAUCCUUUUUAUAUAUUUGUAAAUUUAAUCUGCUAGUAUUUUAUUAGGAGUUUUUGAAUCUAUGUUAAUGACGGAAAUAGUUGUAUAAUUUUAUUUUCUUGUAAUGCACUUGUCAGAUUUCGUUAUAAAGGUUAUGCUGGCCUCAAAAUGAGUUUGGAAGUGUUUCUGCCUCCUUUGUUUUCUGAAAGAGUUUGUAUAAUAAUUGGUAUUUUUUUCCUUAAAUUUUUGGUAGAAUUCACCAGUGAAACCCUUUGGGCCCAUAGAUUUUCUUUUAGGGAGAGUUUUCAUUAUAAAUUUAAUUCUUUAGUAGAUGUAGGAUUAUUAAAAUUUCCUAUUUCUCCUUCAGUUUUGUUAAGCUGUGUUUUUCAAUGAACUUGUCUAUUUCAUCUAAAUUGUUGAGUUUAUUGGCAUAAAGUUAUGCACAAUAUUCUCUAAUAUCCUCCUAUUUAUCUGUAAAGGCUUUAGUAAUAACCCUCUUUCAUUCCCGAAUAGUUAUUUUUCUCUUUUGUCAUGAUCAGUCCUUCUAGGAUUUAUCAAAAUUUUUAGAAAAUUUGUUGAGAUAUAAUUUACAGUCCAUAAAAAUUAUCUGUUUUUAAUUAUAGAGUUCAAGAAUAUUUACUAAAUUUACAAAAUUGUACAACAAUCACCCCAAUCUAAUAUUAGAACUUUGCCAUCAACACCCAAAAAUUUCUCAUGCCCAUUUGUAGUCUCUCCCUGUUCCCACUCCCAGCCCUCGGUAGCCAAUGAAUCAGUUUCUGUUUCUAUUGAUUUGCCUUUCCUAAACAUUUCAUAUGAAAGGAAUCAUACUGUAUGUGGUCUUUGUUUCUGGGUUCUUUCAUUUAGUGUCAUAUUUUUGAGGCUUAUCUGUGUUGUGGCAUGUAUCAAUCCUCCAUUCUUUUUUAGUUACUCAACACUACUCCAUUUCCAGCUGGAAAUGGAAAACCAAAAGGGAGAAACACACUCAGUGUUUCUCAAGCUGAAAGAACUGAAGAAAUAAUUCAAGCCUCAAGUUGCAAUAGUGAAGGAUUCUAUGGGAAAAAUAUUAAAUGACACAGGAAGCAUCAAAAGACGAUGGAAGAAAUACAGAGUCAUUAUACCAAAGAGAAUUGGUUAAUGUUCAACCAUUUCAAGAGGUAGCAUAUGAGCAGGAACUGAUGGUACUGAAGAAGAAGUCCAAGCUGCACUGAAGGCAUUGGCAAAAAAUAAGGCUCCAGGAAUUGAUGGACUACCGAUUGAGAUGUUUCAACAAAUGAAUACAGCACUGGAGGUGCUCACUCGUCUAUGCCAAGAAAUUUCGAAGACAGGUACCUGGCCAACCGACUGGAAGAGAUCCAUAUUUAUGCCUAUUCCCAAGAAAGUUGAUCCAACUGAAUGCGGAAAUUAUUGAACAGUAUCAUUAGUAUCACACACAAGUAAAAUUUUGCUGAAGAUCAUUCAAAAGUGGCUGCACCAGUAUAUUGACAGGGAACUGCCAGAAGUUCAGGCUGGUUUCAGGAGAGGACGUGGAACCAGGGAUAUCAUUGCUGAUGUCAGAUGGAUCCUGGCCGAAAGCUGAGAAUACCAGAAGGAUGUUUACCUGUGUUUUAUUGACUAUGCAAAGGCAUUCGACUGUGUGGAUCAUAACAAAUUAUGAAUAAUGUUGCAAAGAAUGGGAAUUCCAGAACACUUAAUUGUGCUCAUGAGGAACCUUUACAUAGAUCAAGAGGCAGUUGUUCAGACAGAACAAGGGGAUACUGAUUGGUUUAAAGUCAGAAAAGGUGUGUGCCAGGGUUGUAUUCUUUCACCAUAUCUAUUCAAUCUGUAUGGUGAGCAAAUAAUCCAAGAAGCUGGACUAUAUGAAGAAGAAUGGGGCCUUAGGAUUGGAGGAAGACUCAUUAACAACCUGCGUUAUGCAGAUGACACAACCUUGCUUGCUGAAAGUGAAAAUGACUUGAAGCGCUUAUUAAUGAAGAUUAAAGACCACAGCCUUCAGUAUGGAUUGCACCUCAACAUAAAGAAAGCAAAAAUCCUCACAACUGGACCAAUGAGCAAAAUCGUGAUAAAUGGAGAAAAGAUUGAAGUUGUCAAAGAUUUCAUUUACUUGGAUCCACAAUCAACAGCCAUGGAAGCAGCAGUCAAGAAAUCAAAAGACGCAUUGCAUCGGGUAAAUCUGCUGCAAAGGACCUCUUUAAAGUGCUGAAGAGCAAAGAUGUCACCUUGAAGACUAAGGUGCACCUGACCCAAGCCAUGGUAUUUUCCAUCACAUCAUAUGCAUGUGAAAGCUGGACAGUGAAUAAGGAAGACUGAAGGAGAGCUGAUGCCUUUGAAUUGUGGUGUUGGUGAAGAAGAAUAUACCAUGGACUGCCAGAAGAACGAAUAAAUCUGUCUUGGAAGAAGUACAACAAGAAUGCUUCUUAGAAGCAAGGAUGGCGAGACUGCAUCUUACAUACUUUGGACAUGUUGUCAGGAGGGAUCAGUCUCUGGAGACGGAAAUCAUGCUUGGCAAAGUAUAGGCUCAGCAGAAAAGAGGAAGAUCCUCAAUGAGGUAGAUUGGCACAGUGGCUGCAACAAUGGGCUCGAGAAUAACACCGAUUGUGAGGAUGGCGCAGGACCAGGCAGUGUUUUGUUCUGUUGUGCAUAGGGUUGCUAUGAGUCGGAACCGACUCGACGGCAUGGAACAACAACAACUCCAUUGUAUGGCUAUACUACAUUUUAUAUAUACAUUUACCAGUUGAUAGACAUUUAAGCUGUUUCUAGUUUGGGAAUACAGCCACUCGUCACUUAAUGUCAUGGCGAAGUUCCAAAGACAAGGUCGUUAUGCAAAAAUCAGCAUUAUGUGAAAUGGAGGAUGGCUACAUUAGGUAACACAGUAGAGGAUGAGCACAUCAUUACAUAACUGCCAAAUUGCAUCAUUACAUAGCUCCCAAAUCACUGAGAAUCACGGCCCAGCCAAGUUGACACAUAACCUUAACCAUCACAGUCAGCAUUACUCUCACCUUGCACCUUGGCAUUCAUUACUGCCAGACAUAUAGCGUUAAUGUGUGAAAGAGUCAGAUAGUAGAUUUUUUUACUAUUGUCUUAAAUAUGAAAUGUCAGAUAACAAGGUAGCCAAUAAGUGAGGAGUAGGGGUAUUAUCAGUAAUGCUACUAUCAAUAUUCAAGUAUAAGUCUUUGUGUGGAUGUAUGUUUUUAUUUUGUUUGGAUAGAUACCUAGAAGUGGAGUUGCUGGGUUGUAUGGUAUAUUUAUGUUUAACUUUUUGAGAAACUGCCAGACGGUUUUCUAAAGACACCAUUUUACAUUCUCACAUUAAUGCACGAGGGUUCCAGUUUCUCCACAUCGUCCCAACACUGGUUAUUGUCUGUCUUUUUGAUUGUAACCAUUCUAGUGGGUGGGGAGUGGUACCUCAUUUUGGUUUUAAUUUUCAUUUCCCUAAUGACUCAUGAUGUAGAACAUUUUUCAUGUACUUAUUGACCAUUUCUAUAUCUUCUUUGUAGAAACAUUGAUUCAGAUUCUUUGCUCAUUUUUAAAUCGAAUUGUCUUUUUAUUGAGUUGUGAUAGUUCCUUAUUAUAUUGUGGAUGCAAUUCCUUUAUUAGAUAUAUGAUUUGCAAAUAUUUUCUCCCCAUCUUUGGCUUGUCUUUUUACUUUUGUAAUGGUAUAUGUUGAAGUACACGAAUUUGUAAAUUGAUAAAAUCCAGUUUAUCAUUUUUUUCUCUUAUGGGUAAUACUUUAGUGUCAUAUAUAAGAAAUGUUUGCCUAACCCGAGGUCAUGAAGAUUUCCUCCAAAUUUAUCAAUUUUAUUGAUGAUUUUAUUAACUUUAUUGUUAGUCUGUUUCUAUUUCACUGCUUUUUCUUUUUUACUUACUUUGGAUUUAAUAUGCCAAUUUUUUUUUUUUUAGCUUACUAAUGUAAAAACAGAUAUUGGUUCUAAACUUUUCUUGUUUUCUAAUAUAAGCAUUUAAAUAUAUAAAUUGUGCCCUUAAGCAUUUGCUUUAGUUGCAUCCAUGGAUUAUGCUAUAUUGUGCUUUCAUUAAUAUGUCAUUCACAAUAUUUUCAAAAAUUUCUUUUGAUUUCUUCUUUGAUCCAUGGUUUUUAUAGGACUGUGUUGUUCAUUUUUCCAUUAUUAGGUAUUUUUUAGAUAUCUUAUUUUUAUUGAUUUCUAAUUUAAUACUGUUGUUCUCAAAGGAUAUACUAUUUAAGAUUUAAAUUGUUAGAAAUUUACUGAGACUUAUGGCAAGCAUAUGGUCUGUGUUUGUGAACAUACCUUGUGUGUGUGAAAACUGUAUAUUCUGCAACUGUUGGCUGUAGUAUUGUAUAAAUAUCAAUUAGAUUGAUUUGUUUGGUAGUGUUUUCAAAUAUACUAUAUUACUCGAUUUUCUUUUGUCAAGUUGUUUAGUUACUGAGAGAGGGAUAUUAAAUUCUCUUAACUAUAAUUUUAGAAUUGUUAAUUUCUCCUCUUAAAUCUGUAGUUUUUGCUUUGUUUUUAGAUGCACGCAAAUUUAUGAUUUUUACGUCUUCCUGAUGAUCUGAUCCUUUAAUUGCUACAGAAUGGCAUUCUUUAAAUCUCUGGUAAUAUUCUUUGUCUUGAAGUUUACUUUAUCUGAGUAUAGCUUUUUUUUUUAUACUAGCUUUCUUAUGCUUACAUUUUUCAGAGUAUAUUUUUCCAUUGUCUUACUUUCCACCUAUUUAUGUGUUUAUAUUACAAGUACAUCCUUUUAGAUAACCUUCAGUUGCAGCCUAGGUUUUUCAUUCAGUUUGGUGAUAUUUUUCUUUUAAUCAGAGUAUUUUGCCACUGACAUUUCAUAUAGUUAUUGAUAAGUUUGGGCUUUAGUUUAGCAUUUUGAAAGGUAUUUUAUGUUUUUUUUUUUUUUUUGAUCUGCUUUUAGUUUUCCUGUUCUUUUGGAUAAGUUGAAUAAUUUUUAGUGGUACAUUUUCAUUCCUCUUAUGGCUUUUUAGCAAUUUUUCUUUUAGUGUUUCCUCUAGACAUUAAAAUAUGCAUCCUUAACUUUCCACAGUCUACUCAGAGUUAAUAUUGUAACACUUCACAUAAAAUAUAACAUAAUAAACCCUGUGAUCAAUGUUAUAAUUUUUGUUUUAAGCUGUCAGUAUUUUUAAAGAGAUUAAGAAAAGAAAAAAGAUAAUCGUUUAUGUAAAUUUUUAUAUAAAUAUUUACCAUUUCAGAGACUCUUAAUUUUUUCCUGUAGAUCUAAGUUUUCAUCUGGUAACACUUCUAUUAUGCAGUAAGAGAAGCAUGACUUAAUAUAGUGAAGGAGAGGUGGUGAUAAAAAAAAAAAAAAGCCUCUCAGUGUUUGUUUAUCUGCAAAAGCCUUUAAUUUGCCUUCAGUGUUGAAGGAUUUUUUUGCUGCAUAUGGAAUUCUGAAUUGAUAGCUUACUUUUUCUUUCAGUGUGUUAAAGAUACCUUUCAAUCGACUUCUAGUAUUCAUUCUAAUGACAAGUCAGCCAUCAAUUGUUUUGUCAUUCCUUGAAUUUAAUAUGUCUUUGUUUUCUGGAUGCUUUUAAGAGUUUCUGUGUAUUUUUUUUUUAAUGUAUAUUCGUUUUUUCAGAGUGUAAAUUUGCUGAGCCCAGGUGUGGUUUUCUUUGUAUUUACCCUUCUUGAGUUCAAUAUGUUGUUUUUCUCAAAAUUUGAGGAAUAUUUGGCCUUUAUUUUUACAAAUACUCUUUCUGCCCCAUUCUUUUUUCUUUCCCUCUGGAACUCCAAUUAUACAUGUUAGACCACUUGAUGUUGUUCUACAGUUGAAUGAAGCUUUGAUUAUUUGUUUCAGUCUUUUUUCUCUGUCUUUCAGAAUUGAUAGCUAUGCUCUUGCUUUAAGUUGAAUAGCCCUUUUGUCCCCUGACAUAUCUAUUUACUUCAAGUUGAAUAGCCCUUUUGUCCCCUGACAUUUCCAUUUACUAUUAAGUGUAUUCAAUUAAUUUUUAAUUUCAGAUAUUUUACUUUUCAGUAAUAGAAUACCAUUUGGUUCUCAGUUAUAGUUUUCAAUUUCUGUUGAGAUCCUCACAUUUGUUUACUCAUUAUGACUUACUUUCUCUCAAGUCCUGGAAAAUAUUUAAAUAGCUGCUUUAGCAUCCUUGUUUGCUUAUUCAGACGUCUGUACCAUCUCAUGGUCUUUUUCUAUUGCUUGAAUUUCCUUUUGACUAUGGGUUACAUUUUUGUUUUUCUUCCCAUGUCUAGUAAUUUAAAAGAAUUUUUUUUUCAUGAAAUGGUGAUUAAUACAUUGUAGGGAUUCUGUUUCUUUCUUUUGAAACAUGUUGACUUUUGUUCUAGAUUGAUUUUUGCCAAUGGUUGCCUUGAACUUGAGGAAGCUUGUUUUCAUACCUUGUAAAGGCAACUCUGUUUCAAUUUUUCACUUGAUAUUUGUAAAAAUUCUUAAUCCUGAGGCAUAGUCUUUAGUCUUAAUGUGUGGCCCUUAAGAUUUUGAUUAAAAGCCCAAGGUAUUUACCAAAUUGCUUUAUUUACUCAGACUUAAAAAUCAAGACUCUUUUUCCUCUAUGAUGUAAGCUGUUUCAGCCUUCGAGGUGUUGCUUUGUAUCAGCCUAUGUUGCUUUGUAUCAUGUACAGUUCAGGAAUCAGCCAAGGAUUUUUAAAGUGUUAUAUGCAGAUUUGGUGUCUCUUAUGUCUGUCUCCAUCCUUUCUGGAAUUUUCCUUCAGAAUUUCUAUUUUCCAACCACUUUGACAAUGCUGAUCUCUAUCUUUUCCAGCCAUAAGAUUGCAGCUUUCUCCUUGAGUUCAAACUGUCCUGUGCAGUGCAGACCGAGGAGUGAUCUCAAGGAAAAGGCAUUUAGGCAUAGAUAUCACCACCGUGGUUCUUUUUUAAAAGAUCAUUGAAUAUCCUCCAUUUUACAUUGCCUUUGAUAGCUCUUCAGUGCCUUUAGUUAGUUGUUUUUUAAAAUAUUUUCCCAGUCCUUAAAAUUUUUAUCUGUAGGAGAGCUAGUCUAAUAUACCUACUCCAUUUUUCACCAGAACAGAAAUUCUCAGACAUAGCUUUCUCAUACUCCUCUUUAAGGCUGAAAAUGGGACUGGAAAUAAGAAUGUGCUCCUGGUAUUUUCUUCACUCUUGUUUUUCAUUGAUUUGGAAUAUUUAGAUUAUGUAAACUCUUUCCAAUAAGCAUGACUCUACACCUGGGUCCCUGCCUCACCUUAGCCCUACUUGUAUGGUGAAUGCCUUUCCAUAAGAAUGUCCGUCAUAGUUAUUGGGGAAAUCUUCAGAUGUUCUUACUGAAAAGCCUUGGAACUAAGUGGCCUAAUCUGUUACUAAAUUUAUCACUAAAGCAUGUUGUCCUUCUUCAGGGACUGGUCCCUCCUGAUAGCAUGUCCAAAGUAUGUGAGAUGAAGUCUCACCAUCCUCCCUUCCAAUGAGCACUCUGGCUGUACUUUUUUUUUUUUUAAUUGCACUUUAGAUGAAGGUUUACAGAACAAACUAGUUUCUCAUCAAACAGUUCGUAUACACAUUGUUGUAUGACAUUGGUUAACAACCCCACGACAUAUCAACACUCUCCUUUCUCAAGUCUGGGGUCACUACUGCCACCUUUCCUAUUCCCUCCUGCCUUCCAGUCCCUGCCACAGGGCUGGCACACCCCUUUAGUCUUGUUUUGUUCCAUGGGCCUGUUCAUUCUGGCUGAAGGGUGAACCUCAGGAGUGGCCUCAUUACUGAGCUGAAAGGGUGUCCAGGGGGCAUACUCUCAGGGUUUCUCCAUUGUCUGUCAGGCCAGCAAGUCUGGUUUUUCUUUUUGAGUUACAAUUUUGUUCUACGUUUUUCUCCAGGUCUGUCUGGGACCCUCUAUUGUGAUCCCUGUCACAGCAGUCAGUGGUGGUAACUGAGCACUAUGUAGUUGUACUGGAUUCAGUCAGGUGCAGGCUGUGGUCGGUGUGGUCCUUUACUCCUUUGGACUAAUCUUUCUCUUAUAUCUUUUUCUUCAUUCUUCUUGCUCCCAAAGGGGUGAGACCAGUGGAGUAUCCUAGACAGCUGCUCACAGGCUUUUAAGACCCCAGACACUGCUCACAAAAGUAGAAUGUAGAACAUAUUUUAUGCCAGUUGAGCUAGAUGUUUUCGGAGACCAUGGUCCCCACAGCCCUCAGCCCAGAAGUUUGGUCCCUUGGGGAGUUUGGAUGUGUCUAUGGAGCUACCAUGGGCUUGCCUUGUACAGGUUGUGCUGGCUUCCCCAGUAUUGUGUACUGUCUUACCUGUCACCAAAGUUACCACUUAUCUAUUGCCUAUUAUGUGUUUUUCCAUCCCCACCCCUCCUCUCCCUUGUAACUGUUAAAUGUUGUUUCUUUUUGUAUGUAAACCUUUUCAUGAGUUUUUACAGUAGUGGUCUCAUACAAUAUUUGUCCUUUCAUGAUUGACUUAUUUCACUCAGCAUAAUGUCCUCCAAAUACAUCCAUGCUAUGAGAUCCUUCACAGAUUCAUAGUUGUUCUUUAGCGUUGUGUAAUACUCCAUUGUGUGUAUGUACCACAUUUUGUUUAUCCAUUCAUCUGUUGAUGGGCAUCUAUGCUGUUUCCAUCUUUUUGCUAUUGUGAACAGUUUCACAGUGAACGUGGAUGUAUAUAUAUCUAUUUGUGCGACAACUAUUAUUUCUCUAGGAAAUAUUCCUAAAGAAAAAAAAUUCUUUUUUUUUCUUUAGGUUAGGAUUUUUGGAUCAAAUGGUAUUUCUAUUUCUAGCUUUCUAAGGAGGCACCAUAUUGUUUUUCAAAAAGAUUGUAUCAUUUUGCAUUUCCACCAGCAGUGCAUAAGAGCUCCAAUCUCCUCCAACAUUUAUUUUCCAUUUUAUUGAUUCAUGCCAGUAAUGCCGGGGUGAGAUGGUAUCUUAUUGUUGUUUUGGUUUGUACUUCUCUGAUGGCUGGAUAUCGUGAGUAUUUCCUCAUGUGUCUACUGCCUGCUUGAAUGUCUUGUUUGGUGAAGUGUCUGUUCAUUUCCAUUGCCCAUUUUUAAUUGGAUUAUUUGUCUUUUUGCUGUAGCUGUGUUGGAUUUUCUUGUGCAUUUUAGAGAUUAGAUCUUUGUCUGAUUUGUAAUAGCCAAAAUUUUUUUCCCAGUCUGUAGGUUCUCUUUUUCCCUUUUGGUGAAGUCUUUUGAUGAGCAUAAGUGUUUAAUAUUUAGAAGAUCCCACUUAUCUAGCUUAUCUGCUAGAGGUUGUGUGUUGUUGGUUGUGAUUUGUAUCCUGUUAAUGCCAUGUAUGAGGGCCUCUAGUGUUGAUCCUAUUUUUUCUUCUAUGAACUUCAUGGCUUUUGGCUUUAUAUUUAGGUCUUUGAUCCACUUUGAGUUUGUUUUUGUAUAUGGUGUGACGUAUGGGUCCUGUCUUGUUUUUCUGCAGAUGGACAUCUAGCUUUGCCAGCACCAUUUGUUAGAAAGACUGUCUUUUCCCCAUUUGAUGGACUUUGGGCACUUGUCGAAGAUCAGGUGACCGUAGGUGAAUGGAUUUACUUCUGGGUUCUCAAUUCUGUUCCAUUGGUCAGUGUGUCUGUCAUGUACCAGUACCAGGCUGUUUUGACUACCAUAGCUGUAUAGUAGGUUCUGAGGUCAGGUAGUGCGAGUCCUCCUACUUUAUUCUUCAGUAGAGUUUUACUUAUCUGGGGCUUGUUCCAUUUCCAUAUAAAGUUAACGAUAAGUUUUUCCAUCUCUUUAAAGAAUGUUGUUGGUAUUUGGAUCAGUAUUGCAUUGUAUUUGUAAAUCACUUUGGGUAGAAUUAUCAUUUUCACAAUGUUGGGUCUACCUAUCCAUGAGCAUGGUAUGUUUUUCCAUUUAUGUAGAUCUCUUUUGGUUUAUUGCAGUAGUGUUUUGUAGUUUUCUUUCUAUGGGUCUUUUAUAUCCCUGGUUAGAUUUAUUCCCAAUUAUUUUAUUUUUUCAGGGGCUAUUAUAAAUGGAAUUCUUUUCCUGAUUUCCUUGUCAUCAUUUUCUUCAUUGGUGAAUAGGAAUCCAACUGAUUUUUGUACCUUUAUCCUGUAUCCUGCAACUCCAAUGAAUCUAUUAGUUCCAGUAGUUUUCUCAUGGAGUCUUUUGGAUUUUCUUAGUAUCAUAUUCCUCUAGCUAAGACUUCCGACACAAUGUUAAAUAGGAGUGGUGAUAAAGGGCAUCCUUUUCUUGUUCCUCUUCUCAAGGGGAAUGUUUUCAGCCUCUCUCCAUUGAGAAUGAUCUUGGCCAUUUGUAUAGAUGCCCUUUAAUUUUAUUUUUAAUUGCAUAUGUGGAUUCAUUCAGUCAUUCAGACAGUUGUUGAUUAUUUAUUGCAGGUCCGUUCUCAAUGGCACCCAACAACACCACAAGAAUAAAACAAGAACACCAUCUCAUGAAGCUUACAUUGUAGUUGGGAAUGCAAAAAUAAACAAAUAAUAAAGAACUGCCAAUUCUUGAUAAGUGCUAUGAAGAAAUUAAGUGCAAUAAAGAGCUAGUGAGGGUAUCUGUAUGUAAGUAUGUUCUCUUUUAGGUAGUGUGUUCAGGUAAAACCUCUCUUGCGAGGGAGACGUUUAUACUUAGCCUAAGAGAAUGAGAAAAAGCCAUCUUUGGGAGGAUCUAAGAGAAGACUACUCUAGGCAGAAGGGACAGAAAAUGCUAAACCCUGAGCAGGAGUGUAAUUAAUGAGUUGGAGGAACAACAAGGAGACCUGUGGGCUGGAAUGAAGUUACUGGUGUCCUUUCAGGCCCUACUGAGUACUGUGGCAUUUACUGAUUGAGAUAGGAAGCCAUUAGACGGUUUAACUUAUGUCUUAGACCCUGGGGAGGGGGGAAGGAGGAGAACAGAGAGACAAGUUAGGAAAUUAUUGUAACUGGUGAGAGGUGAUUGAUCUGGGUCAGGCAAAAAUAUUUAUUGAGUGCUUCUUAUGUGCUCCGUAUGAUGCUACCUCCCUAGUCAGUGGUGGUCCAGAUUUCUCCCUUGCCCUGGCAGGGAACAUAGUUUGCAGACCCUGUUGUUACAUAGGCAAACACACACGAGAGGGGGAAGGAAGCUUGGGUAUGUAAGGCAGCCCUAGCAUAAAGUUUUGGGCAUGGCAAAGUACUUGAUUAUGUGUGCGUAUAGCCACAUACCUAGCUGUGUAAGUCAUUGCAAAUGUCAUCUGGCUAAUGUCCAUUAAUGAUUAGCUAAUUAGAAGGCUGCCAUUCCUGUCCUCAGUCUGACAGCUGGUUUAUUUUACUGAAGGCAAUGUCUUUGACUUCCUUAUCACAUCGAAAGGUUUUUUUUUUUCUAAGUAAUAGCUUUGAAAACAAAGGAGAUUAAACAAACUGUUAAAUAAGAGAACUAAGUCUAGUACCUGGCACCUAGUAAAUGCGUAAUAAAUGUUAGUUGAAAUUAGAGUCACUGCCUUGGUAGAUUAAAAAACCCACAAAUUUAAUAUAUUAAGAGCCCCUAAAGAGAGUACCAAUAAGCAGUUAAACAAGUACUGUAUUAGAUUGAAACCAGAAGUAGCAACUCCUGUAUGUUUUCAUAAUUUGUUAAUUACUAGAACGUUAUUUGCAACCCUCUCCAGCCUUAAGAGCUGUAUGAUCAGAGGCGUUUUAUUAAAUCUCUUUAAGACUUGGUUUACUUAUCUGUAAAAAUGGAGAUGAUGGCACAGUUUUCAGACUGGAGUGAGUAUGUAGGGCCACUUGUCAAGUGUGUGGUCAUAUACCCCACAGUUCCCAUGAUCAUGACUCUCCUUCUACAUACGAGGAAACAGAGACCCUGAGAAGUGCCUGGGGCUUGCUCAGGAACACACAGUGCCAUUCAGACUUCCAUACAGGCCCACCUGUCACCUGCUCUAAGGCAGGGGUAAUGGGGUGCUGCCGGGCCAUCACGAGAGGCAGCACAGCAUUGUGGGUAAGAGCACAGCCUCUGAACCCGGACUACUUGGGUCCAAAUUCUGCCUCUGUUGAUUCCUAGCUGUGUGUCCUUGGGCAGGUUACUUCAUCUCUCUCUGCCUCAAUAUCCAUGCCACUAAAAUGAGGCUAAUAAAGCUGCCUAUCUCAUAGAACUUUUGGAACAGUGACUGCCAUAGAUGGCAACAUCUAAGUUAAAGCUACUAGUAAUUGCUUUGGCUGUGAAGUGUAGUUGAGCUUUGCUGAGAACUUGCCUUUUUAGCAACAUCUAACCCAAGUGUGUAGCCUCACUUUUGUCUGCACGGGGUACGCAUCUUUCCCCUGAAGCUCAAUCACUGUCUCCCCUCUCCUCGCUCUGCACCCUCUGCCCCUCCCCCCACCAGUUCUGGUCUGCCAUCUGCUGACCCGUCUGAGACUCCUGUCAGGUCAAAGAUAGCAAGGCCUUUGUGGGGUGCCCAGGCAUCGAGUCAUGUCCCAGCGCUGUUGUACAUCUUGUUUCAGAGAUAUUUUGCCGUAAUGUUCUGUGACCUUUUCCAUUGAGUGAGGUAGUUGGAGAGGCACUCAGUAAGGGAAAAUUGAGCUGUUUUAUUCCUCCCCAAGGAGGCUCCUGUUUCCUUUCCACCGUUCAUUUGAAAGCUAUCAUUUUCUUGAUUUUAUAGCUGAAAAACAGCAUUGAUUCACUGGGUGUUAGAUGCUAAGAGUUCUCCUAUUGACAUGCCUAUUGACAGUUUUCAGUAUAUUCUGCGUCUAAUUAUCACUCUUGGCUAAAUGAUACACCUUGCGGACUUGAGCGAUGGAGUCGAUAGCUCUCACCGCAUUGUUCUAGCAGCGCCUAUUGAGCCCGGUGUCACGGUGAUGUGAUUUAUGUGAUCAGAAAGAAAAUUUCUGUUGGUGUGCUGCAUAAUUAAAGCAAGUGCGGAGUGACUGGUGACAAAAAAUCAGGCCUGCCGAUGUCAUCCCCAAAUGAGGAGAGAUUUCUGUGGUAAGCAGCUGCGACAUUGAAGAAUCUCUCUUGGCAUCUUUUGCUUUGCAAUUUUUGAGGGUUCAAUUUUCCUUCCAGGCCUGGCUGAGGAUUCCUGCUUCUCUGUGCCUUCCUGUUUCCUCGUGUUCAAAGCCCCAGUUUGUGCUGUUGUUCCCAAGGACUGGGGCUGUGCCUGCUUGCUCAGGGAGGGGUUUACUGUUGGGGUGUGUGGGGUGGCAGUUCACAGAUUUCAGGCUGCUGGAAGCCCACAUUUGCAACUAAGGAGGAAGGACGACUUAAAAAAAGCUCGCCCUUUUUAUCAGCUGGUUUGAGUGUCUUAGAUUAAGACUAAAGGUUGGGGGUGCCAUUUUCUCUGCAAAUAAGAGGAGCUGCCCCUGUGCCUGAAUAAUGUUUUCUGAAAGGAAUGAGUGGUGAUUCUUGCCCACCCCAGACAGGAAUGAUGAGAAAGUAGGGGAAGCUGAGAGGAGGCAGAAGGCUGGGCCUGUAGUAGGAAAGAACCCAGGUGAAACAACCUGCCUUCCACCAUGACUACUCUUUGACCUGCUGUAUUCAAAAAUGCUUUUCCGUGAAUCCCAGUAGUUGAGAAACCUGCCUUCCCCACUACUGGUUCAGUAACUGAUUUUCUGUUUGAUCAAAGGUCAAGUUAUUUAAUCUCGGUGGGCCUCAGUUUUCUCAUCUGUAAAUUAAACUAGAGGCCCCUUUUAAUGCUAAAAUACCAUGACUUAGUGCAGUAGGGACUUGGAGUGAAGGUUGGAUGGAGAAUGCCUAGCUGUUCAUCUGAAGGGUCUCCCUGAAGGAAUUCACUAGCAAGGCUACCUUUGGCAGGAGAGAAGUGCUUUAUGUAUGCUGUUUAGCUACGAUGCGUAGCUACCCACUUCAUACAGCACUAAAGGAACCUUGAUGAUGAAAGUACAGGGUGAGGUAUUUAAUGAUGAGUUCAAACAGAACAUCUGUAUCAAGCAGUAGGAGUAGGUGUUUCCAGGUACCUGAGUUGGACAAUGAAUUUGGCAUGGUGGCUACUAAAAGUCAUUAGUAGAAUUGAAUUUGGGUAGUGGUGGGUGGUUGGGCCGAGUAAAGGGCUAGGAUUCUGAGGUCUGGGGCCACCAAAAUUGUGAUGAAAGUAACUUUUGAGGUCAGUGACUUCAGACAGGUUACUUUCCUGGAAGCUAGAGGCCUUGGGUAGCCUCUAUUGCCACUAAUUAGUACUUAAUGAACCUCUGUGUAUGGUACUUCAGCCUUUUAGAAACAGAGUGAGAAAGAGAAAGUCAAGGGCACAGGUGACCUGACAUAGAAUGCUCACCCAUGAACAAGACCGGAGACAUUUUGUAAUUUGGGUCCCUGUUUUCAUAACUGAAAGUUUUAAGACUAUUCAGUUAUCUGAUCUUUGAAGCCUCAGUUCUAUUUUACGAUUAGGUGUGAUAGUACUUUCUCCUGAACGUGAAGUAAACUUUAAGGUGGUUCCUGAAAACUCAAGGAAACCUCAUCUGCUUUUGCUUUGUAUUCAAAAGUAAUGUGAAAAGACAUUACUGAAGGCAAUGUGUUUGAGUUCCUUAUUAUAUCGAAAGGUUUUUUUUUUUUUAAGUAAUAGCUUUGAAAACAAAGAAGAUUAAACAAACUAGUAAAUAAGAGAACUAGAAACCCUGGUGGCGUAGUGGUAAGUGCUAUGGCUGCUAACCAAAGGGUUGGCAGUUCGAAUCCGCCAGGCGCUCCUUGGAAACUCUGUGGGGCAGUUCUGCUCUGUCCUGUAGGGUCGCUAUGAGUCAGAAUCAACUCGACGGCACUGGGUUUCUGGGUUAGGUCUAGUACCUGGCACCUAGUAAAUGCUUAAUAAAUGUUGGUUGAAAUUAGAGUUGUAUUCAUUGUUCAUGUUUUUUUAGAUCUGGACCAGCUCUUCAAACUGUUGAUGGUCCUGGGAAUGGGGAAAUAUAGGAAGGACCUUUGAACAUUUCAAUAAGAAUAUGGAUUGUUUUUCCAUUUUGUCUGUGAUAAUUACAAAUCUCCAUGAAGAGUCCUCAGUAUGUUAAUGUAUUGUUAAUGCAACAUAGCAGCACCAGGAGAUUCUGGGUGACAGAUCAGGGUAAAGUCGGUCACCUGCCUGUUGAGAGUCCUUUUCCUUCUUGACCUGCCAAGUAGUUCAACUUAGAAGCCUGUGAGUAACCUUUAUAGAUUGCAGGGUAUAAUUUUCACUGCAAUUAUGGGACAGGCUUGUUCUCCUGUGCUCUAGGGCUCCCACAUCUUUACCACAGUUGAUUCAUUUUAAACGGUAGAAAUUAGAGGAGAAAACGCACCUCAGGAUUCUUUGACCCUACGCUUCCUCCUGUUCUAUGUCCCCACCACUUCCACCAGGUGCCCUUGAGCCGACUCCGGCACACAGUGGCCCCGUGUGUAUCAGAGUAGAACUGUGAUCCUUAGGGGUUUUAGUGACCGAUUUUUUGGGAAGUAGAUCACCAAGACUUUCUUCCAGGAUGUCUCUGGGCAGACUCAAACCUCCAACCUUUUGGUUAGCAGCCGAGUGCAUUACCAUUUGCACCCAGGGACUCUAUUCUGUGCCUCAGGCUUUUAAAAUGCCUCUCCUUUCUGCCUGUCCCUCUCAGAGGACAGCUUCUUUCUGGCAGAGGCAUCCCUUGGUGGAAUUUAGGGCAGUAGAAGAAUUGCACUGGGUAGGAUGACAUAUAAUUUGAUUCUUCCCAAAUGUUUCUGGUCUCUACCUGUUUGAGCUCUGUUUGGGUAUGAGUGUGUAGGCUAUGUUCUCACCUCUCAAUUCAUUGUGACUUUAGCUGGAGGUCUGGCCUCUGGCUGUCAUUGCUCUAGAUCCUGGUAAGGAGAGGGAGCAUGUGAGUUGGAGCUAGCAGGAAGCAUAUGUCUGGGGUUCGUGUGUGCAGAGGGCUGCGGUGCAGGCGAGGGAAGCAGCAUUUGCCCUCUGGGAUUGUCAAGAAAAGUAGAGCCCUUCUGCAGAGACUUAAAGGCACAGUGACUCAGACAGGGCCUGGGCAGCCUGAGGACCACCUGGUGAGUGAUGGGGCAGAAUGGCCUACACAGUCCAGCCAUUAGCAGAGGGUCCAGAAUUUAAUGCUUCCCGCAAACAGUCUAGCUCCUUAAAAUGGCAAGUUAUUACUUUUGUUCUUUUUCUGUCUUUGGGAUUGUUUAUGCAUCUCAAAAGCUGUAAAGGGAAUUUUGCACGUUCGGCAAAGUUUUACUUUAAAGGAGGCAGGUUAGAGAAAGGAGUGCCGUCACAUUAAAUGCCAGCUAUUGUGGUUUUCAUUCAGCUUGACGAACAGUGGCCUAAAAUGGCAGGGGAUUAAAUUGAUGUAAUGGCAAGAAUUCAUAUAGGAGGCUAUGGGAAUGGAGCAGAAUAAUACUAAGGCUUCACGGUAUUAGGGUGUUCUUUGCUUUGCCUUAGGUGGAAAACAUAAUAUACCUGUAUUUUUGUUGAUUCUAAACAGGGAAUGUGUAAACGGAGGCAUGUCAUUUUUCCUACAACCUUCAAGUUGAAAUUAAAUAGCUAUCCAUUUCUGAGCAAUGGACAUAUUUUAGAGUAAUGAGUUAAGUGCAGUUUUUGAAGAUUUGGAUCUUGUACGUCACAAUAAGAACAUUUUGUUGCUCAGUUGGGUUCCGGGUAUAAAGGCACGCAGUACUUGGUCAUUUGUGAAUUUAUUCAUUUGUUAAAGGGCAUUCUUAUUUUUAGAAAGAUUCACCUUUGUCUUGGUGAAUUUAAGCAGUAACAACUGCAACGAUGAGUAGAAUAAACAUUUCCUUUUUGAGCUUCAGCCUUUGAUGGAGGAGAGCUGCAGAUGAGAUGCUCCUGCCUUCUGAAGAAAUACAUAUGUGCCUUUCAUCUGGGCCACCUCUUUCUGGGGCAGUACCAGCUGGAAGGUGUCAGCUGGGAUGACCAAACACUUGAUCAAUUGACAAGGGGUGCGUCAAAGGUGGUUGAGAGCCAUUUAUAUGCAGUGUGUUUGAAAGCACUUUGAAAAGUAUAAUGUACUUAGUGUGUAUUUGUAUAGUAUGAAAGCAUAUUUUUAUUAGGCACGUUUUAACAUAUGGCUCAAAAAAAAGGUGUUGUACUGUGUCGAAACUUUAUUUUUUUCUGUACAGUGCUAGAAAGUCAUCUUUAUGCAAUUCUUUGAGUAACGAUGUUCACACAUUUUAAGGUUUCAUGAGAAACUGCCCUAAUUUCUUAAAACCCUGCUUUUCUCACCUCAGUACUUAACUGUAGGAAAAUGUAAAUUCCCUUCCCUGGUUCAAGGCUUUCUACAGUUUUGACCAGCUCUACUCUGCCACAAAUCUCCUGUGCUGAAUGUUCCUCGUACUGUUUGUUGCUAUUCCCAGUCUCAAUUUCUUUUUAAUGCUGUUCCUUCUAUAUGAGGGGGCUCCUUCCCCUGAUCUCUGCCCACCAGAUAUGACCCAUCCUCUAAGGUACUGCUUGUUCCGGCUCCCCCUUAAACCCUUCCCUCACCCUACACAUAGGGUCAUUUACAUAUAGAGACACUUUGUAGGGUCACCUACCAAAGAAUGGAGGUUUUCUGUCAGUAGCACUCAGUGAUAAUCGUACAUUCUUGUAUAGUUUCCUUAUCUUCCCUGCUGGAUUCUCAGCCUUAAUGGUGUACUGGGUAAUAACAAUAAUGAAAAUGCUAGUAAUAAAAACAAACAUUUAUCCAGCCAGCUCUAACUGAUUGCCUGUUGUGAGCUAGAUGGUGGGGAUGAAGUGAUAAUCAAAAACCAGACACGCGAGGCGGAGCCAAGAUGGCAGAAUAGACAGACACUUCCGGCGAGCCCUCUUUACAACAAAGACCAGAAAAAACAGGUGAAAUGAGUAUAUUUGUGACAAGCUGGGAGCCCUGAGCUUUAAAGGCAAGCUUAGAAAACGAACUGAGGGGCAGGGGGAGGAAGAGAACGUUCAGAAGUGGAGAGGAAUUACUGGACCUGAAUUGCAAGGAGCCCUCAGAUAUCAUUCCCGGAGUGGGGGCGAUGGCAGUGGCAGGCUGGUACUAGCAUUCGGCCGCAGUUUCCUCAGGGAGAAGCAGCCAGCCACACAGCCUACUCAUACCUCAGGAACCUGAGGAGAACUGUGCUCUCGGCAAAAGCUAAGUACUUGUGUAUAUUUUACCAUGGCCCUCCACCCCCAAGCCAACUUUAGCGGUUGAAUUCCCUGGGCCUGAGGAAGGUCCUGUAGAGCACCUGGAGUCAUCCUCCCAGCCUUGGGGAAGGAGAAAAUUUGCAAUUGGGGGAAAAGAUAAUUUGCUAGCUCCACUAACUGGGGGAGCUCAGGACAGAAUCGGCUCCUGUCCAGGCAUAAACCAUCCGUGGACUUUAAGCACCUUUCCCUUCUUCAUGGACCUGCAUGGGCCUAUAUCGGGAGAAUAGGCCCUUGUUGGCAGACUCCAACCAGUUCAGCUGUGUGGUGGAGAGGUGGGUAUUUGAUGUUUGACACUGCUUUGCCUUUUAAACAAUGUCCUCACCUACCCACAUCAGGGACCUAAGCCACCUAUGACAGGGGUCCAAACAUAACUGGUACCUCCCAGUCCUUACAACCAAAAACUUUGGGUGCCCAUGGUCCGUCUGCAGAACCCACCCCCCUGUAUGCUCUAAGAAACAGGGACGCGCUUUCCUCAGAUACACUUGGGGAUCAAUUCUCAGCCCCCUGCCUUGUUCAGAGUGUGAUCCCCUGCUGCAACCAGAUACUGGUAUAUACACCAAUCACCCCUGCCCUCUAAGACUGUAUGACAGAGCCUGUACCACAAACUUGAUGUCAGCUACCUGGAAACCUGAGCUGCAUUCAUACAAGAAAACUGAAAGGACUCCUAGACUGACAUAACAGCUGAUAACAGCUCUAGCCAUCUGGGGACAGGAUGUGAGAGCUCCAAAGGCAAAAAUAAUCAAGCUAGCUCACUCAAGCAACCCAUAGGGGUAUACCAAAACAAAACAAAGCAAGCAGCAACGACACAGUAAGCAAGCAUAAACUAAUACAAUAACGUAUAGAUGGCUUGGAGACCACAGUCAAUAUCAAGUCACAUAAAUAAACAGACGAUGAUCACCUCAACAGGCUCUCAAAACAAAGAAUCCAGGAAUCUUCUAGAUGAAAGUGCAUUCCUGGAAUUACCAGAUGCAGAAUACAAAAGUUUAAUAUACAGAGCCCUUCAAGACAUCCAAAAAAAAAAAAAAAUUUUUUUUUUUUUUUCAAGACAUCAGGAAGGAAAUGAAGCAAUACGCAGAACAAGCCAAGGAACACACAGAUAAAGCAAUUGAAGAAAUUAGUAAGAUUAUUCAGGAACAUAAUGAAAAGUUCAAUAAGCUAGAAAAAUCCAUAGACCGACAGCAAUGAGAAAUUCAUAAGAUUAACAAUAAAAUUACAGAAUUAGACAACUCAGUAGAAAGUCAGAGGAGCAGAAUUAAGCAAGUAGAAGUGAGAAUUUUUGAACUUGAAGAUAAAUCAGUUGGCACCAAUAUAUUUGAAGAAAAAUCAGAUAAAAGAAUUUUAAAAAAUGAAGAAGACUUAAGAAUCAUGUGGAACUGUAUCAAGAGAAAUAACCUACGAGUGAUUGGAGUACCAGAACAGGGAGGAAUAACAGAAAACACAGACGGAAUUGUUGAAGACUUGUUGGCAGAAAACUUCCCUAAUAUCAUGAAAGAUGAGAAGAUAUCUAUCCAAGAUGCUCAUCAAACUCCACAUAAGGUAGAUCCUAAAAGAAAGUCACGAAGACAUAUUAUGAUCAAACUUGCCAAAACCAAAGAUAAAAAGAAUUAUAAGAGCAGUGAGGGAUAAACGGAACGCAGAGCCAAGAAGAAUAAGCUCGGACUACUCGACAGAAACCAUGCAGGCAAGAAGGCAAUGGGAUGACGUAUUUAAAAAAUUGAAGGAAAAAAAUUGCCUGCCAUGAAUCAUAUAUCCAACAAAACUGUCUCUUAAAUAGGAAAGUGAAAUUAAGACAUGUCCAGAUAAACACAAGUUUAGGGAAUUCGAAAAAAGAAACCAAAACUAUAAGAAAUACUAAAAGGAGUUCUUUGGUUAGAAAAUCAAUAAUAUUAGGUAUCAACCCAAGACUAGAACACUGGGCAGAGCAACCAGAAGUCAACCCAGACAGGGAAAUCCAAAAAAAAAAAAAAACCAAGAUUAUUAAAAAAAAGC